UUAUAGGACUCCUAAGUUAUCCCAAUAUAAUUGGGUGCAACAAGAUCCAAGAGUCCCACUGAAGGACAAGCGUCCUUCCCCCAAGAAACCUACAAAACAGGAGAGAGUUCCCAAGGAACCAAAUUUUUUUAUGCUCAAUUUAGAAGGUACUCUAUUGUAUGAACAAUAAGGUUGAGUUUCUUAAGCUCUAUAAAGAUAAAAGAGUAAAAACAAGAAGAGAUUGAGCGAAGCUUCUUAUUAUUCUUCUUCUUCUUUUUGUCGCUCUUCUUCUUUCUUAUAUCCAUUUGGGUCUGUUGUUAUUAUUGAAUUUCAGAUUUUGAUAAUAAAAUUAAUUAAUGAAAUUAUGAUCUAAUGUGUGUUUGAGUGAUGCAUGACUAACUUCGAUCAUGGAAAAGUAAAUUGAUUGAAACAAGAAGAAUCAAACGCUGGGCCGGAGUGAAUCAUGUCAGAAGAUUGGACGUCGGGCCAGAGGACUGGUCGACGUGCUGGAAGGACUUUAUGUCAUGAGUUCGGGCAUCGAGUCGAAGGAUCGAACAUUGCGCCAAGAAAAUCAGAUGAUGCGGGAGGUCAACAUGCCGAUCGGGCAAUACACCGAAGGAUCGGACGAUGCGUCGAACGAAGUGCCAGAUGAACCAAUAACAUGUCGAACAACAUAUGAUUCAUAUUUGUAAUCAGUUGUGUCUAGAUCGAAGUAGUUUAGGUCUAAUUAAGUUAGUUUCAGGUGUAACCAGGCUAACUCAAUUAGGGGCCUAUUGGGCUUGAGUUGGGGUUGUUUUGGGCCAAGUGGAAGGCCCAUUCAAUGACCCUUGGCCAGGUGGUGGUGCCGAUAGGUCAGGCGAUGGAACCGCUUGUGAGACAGUGUACAUCUCCGGGAAACCCGGGCGGUGGUACCAUCGGUGUCAGGCGAUGGUACCGCCCAGUGUCAGUCUGCCAGGCGGUAAUACCUCCUAUACUGGGCGGUGGUACCGCCAGCUGGUAGGGCUACAGGCGGUGGUACCGUCAGUACUCCGGAAACCCAGGAUGAGACCUUUUUUAGCUUAAUUUUUAAGUCAUUUGGGGUCUAUAAAUAUCACACUCUUUCCUGCUUGGGUAAGCAAGAAAUAAAGUAGAAGGAGGCUGUGAUUCUGAGUUUAAAAGGAUUGAAAAGUGCUAAGUGUUCUCCUCCUCUUAAAGUUUUAUGAUCAUUCUAAGAGAGAUGUGAGACUUGUAAAGGUUAUCUCCUAAACCUAUGAAAAGAAAAAGGAGUUGUAAAUAGGGUAGUUGAUCUUCAUCUAUUAAAAGAAGAUCGUUAGUGAACACCGAUAGCCUUGACGGAAGAGGAAUCGGGAGUGGAUGUAGGUCACGACAACCGAACCACUAUAAACUCGAUUUGCAUUUACAUUCUGCUUUUUAUUGCUAUUACUCUCUGAGUUAAUUGCUUAGCUCAUUUACUCUGAGUUAAUUGUUUAGUUUAUUUACUCUAAGUCAAGCACAUUUCCAAUAUGAUUUUUUAUCGAACGAAAAUUUUUCAAAAUCGAUGUUUUUAUCGAAAGCACUAAUUCACCCCCCCAGUGUCGAAACGGUCCUAACAGUUGGUAUCAGAGCCAAGUUUUUCUCGAUUGAUUUAACACCCAAGAGAAUGACUUUUACCGACAAUCUAGAGGGAUACUCUAUCACUCAUCCUCCCAUAUUCAAUGGGACGGACUACACGUAUUGGAAAACACGUAUGAGAGUUUUCUUGCUUUCUAUGGAUUUUAAUUUAUAGAAUAUAGUUGAAUUUUAUUUUCAAACACCUCUAAACCUAUGAAUGAAUGGAGUAAUUUUGAAAAAAAAUUGUUUUCAUUAAAUGUCAAAACUAUGAAUGGUUGUUUUUACACUUAAGAAAAAAAUGAGUUUAAUCGUGUUUCUAUAUGUGAAACUCCAUAUAAUAUUUAACACAUACUCGAAAUCACACAUAAAGGCACAAGUAGAGUUAAAGAGUUUAAAUUUAAUCUUUUGAUAUAUAGUUUUAAAUUAUUUCGAAUGAAGCAAAGCAAAACCAUUGGAGACAUGUACACCCGUUUUAUGGAUGUCAUUAAUAGUUUGAAAGCUCUUGGCAAAUGUUUUUCUAAUCUUGAACUUAUAAAUAAGAUUCUAAGAUCCCUUCCAAAAAGCUGGGAUCUGAAAGUAACUGCAAUACAAGAGGCAAAGGACUUAAACAAUUUUCCACUAGAAGAAUUCAUCUGAUCAUUAAUGACAUAUGAAAUGACUUAUUUGGCACAUGAUGAAUAUGAGGAUAACCUUCCAAAGAAUAGAAAGGUUAUUGCACUUAGAACCAAAGAAGAUCACUCAAGCAAGAGCUCAAGUGAAGAUGACAUAGAACUCACAAAAAAAUUCAAAAAGUUUAUGAAAAAGAACGAGACUAAAUUAAAACAAGAAUCUAAAAAUGAACUCAGAAAGGGCACAAUAAAUUGCUAUGAAUGCAAGAAGCCAGGGCACUCCAAAAAUGAGUUACCAAAGAAGAAGAAAACACUCAAGAGGACUUGGGACGAAUCAAGUACAUUCAUAGACGAGGAGCAAACCAAGAAAAGCGAGGUAGCGAACUACGCAUUGAUGGCUUUUAAUGAUGAGGUAAGUGACUCAACCGAAACUCAUUUACCUUACAAUGAAUUACUAAAUACUUUUUAUGAUUUAUAUGAUGAUUUUAAAUUAGUUGAUAAAAAUAUAAAUUGUUAAAAAAGAAUCAUGCAUCUCUCUCUAAUGAAUUUAAAAUUUUUAAAAAUAAGUAUGAUAAAUGCUUGUUAACUCCAUGUACUCAAUGUAAAGAAUUAGAUAAUGCAAAAAGGAAAAUUUGUUAUUACAAUAAACUUUUAAAAAAAUUAAAAUUGAUAACAAAUCAUUAAACAUGAUUAUUGCUAAUAAAUGUCAUAUACGUAGAAAGGAAAGAAUCGACUUUAUGAGAAACACUCAACAAAAGCCAACUAUUUUUGUUAAAGGAUCAACAUUACAUAUCCCCCCAAGGCUAAGUGUAAUUUUCGUGGUAGACAGUCAUUUUGCUUAUAAAUGUUCAUUCAAAAAUUAUAGCUCGCAUAAAUUUAUCUGGGUUCCUAAAAGAACCAUAAAGGACUUAAUGCCAAUAAACAAGACAGGACCUCAAAGUCAAAUGAGUACCUAUAGCAAAACCUACAUUUCUUAUAGAAAUGUCUACAAUCGAAAGCUAGAAGCAAAAAUAAAAUUUUGAUAAUGGAUGCUCAAAGUUUAUGACCGGAGAUCCAAUACACUUUUCAAAGCUCACUAGCUGAAACAACAAAGGAAUAAUCAUUAGUAUUGAAAUUAUUUAUAACAAAUCAAAUCUUUGAUUGAAGAUGUUUUGUUAGUAGACAUAACUCAUUAAGCAAUUGUGUAAUAAGUGAUAUAAAAUUAAAUUUGAAUGUAAUGCUUACAUACCAAAUAAGAAUAAUUCUAUAAAUGCUUAAAUGUUUAUCUUGAUGAUUUUUGUGAUGAAACUUGUUUUUCGAUUUUAAACGAUGAUGUGUGGAUUUAGCAUAAAAGACAAGGGCAUACUUGUAUGAAAUCAAUCGCAUGAAUUGAAACUACCAAAAAAUAUAUAUAUUUUUCUUAAAAAUUUUUGUAUCUCUUAAGCUUAUGAAUUUUUUAAUAAGAUAUUAAUGAAUCUAUUUAUGAUAUUUUUAAAUCUCUUGAACUAUAAAAGUAAUUUUGAUGAUUUGAAUUUGAAUAAGAUUUUUCCAACCGAAUCAUGAACUUUCUCUUGAUUUCUUGACUUAGGUAUCUUCUAUGGGAAUCAAAAUCUUUUUUAUCUUCUAUGAUUUCUUCUUUUUAUCAUUUACUAAAGUGGAGAAUUAUACAAACAAACCAUGAUCUUGAUAAUUAUAACUUGAGAUUUUUAUAUAAAUCAAGAUCGUUCACUAUAAUUCUUUCGUUUUAUUAAAGAGAAUUAUUCAAAUAAAUUAUGAUUUUUCUCUUGAUUCAUGACUUAAAAUUUCUUUUGAAGAUCUUUUAAUAUUUGAUUUCCUAAAAAAAAUUUUGUUAUUUAAGAGGAGAUUUGUUAAAAUAAAUCAUGUAUUUUGGUACUCACGAUUUGAUAUUAAUAUCUUUCAUGUCAUAAUUUAUUUAUCCCAAAUGACUCCCUUAUAUUCAUGAAUUAUAUAUACAUCAUCACCAAAUUGAUUUAUUCUUGAUAAUUUUUUUGUCAUGAUUUAAAAAUUAAUGUAAAGGAAAAAGAAUUACAAUAUUAUAUUAUUUCCUUCUUUUUUAUAAUGACAAAGGGGGAAAAAGAAUUGUUAACUUACACACUUCAAGAAGAAGUAAAAAUUGCUAAACUUGUACAUCUAGCAAAGAAUUAUUAGCUUGCAUAUCUCAAAAUAGAAACAAAAAUUGCUAGCUUGCACAUUCAAGAGAAGUAAGAAUUGCUAACACUUGCACAUCUCAAAAAAGAAACAAGAAUUGCUAGCUUGCACAUUCAAGAGAAGUAAGAAUUGCUAACACUUGCACGUCUUAAGAGAAGCGAAGAAUUGCUAGCUUGCACAUCUCAAAAGAGAAGCAAAAAUUACUAACUUGCGCAUCUCAAGAAAAGCAAGAAUUGCUAAAACUUGUACAUCUCAAAAGAAGUAAAGAAUUGCUAGCUUACAUAUCUCAAAAGAGAAGCAAGAAUUGCCAGCUUGCACAUCUCAAGAGAACCAAAAGUGCUAGUUUACACAUCUCAAAAACUUGCUAGUUUACAUAUUCUAAAAUAAUUAAAAAUUUGCUAGUUUGCAUGUUCUAAAGUGAUAUAAAACUUGCUAAAUUACUAGCUUGCAUGUUUUAAAAAUAAUUGUUGGUUGUACUUUUCUCCUUUUUAUUGAUGACAAAGGGGGAGAAAUUAUGAUGAUGAUUUGAAAUUUGAAUCAUGCAUGGUAUAAUAUACUUUAAUAUUUUAAAAUUAUGAUGAUUUCAAAUUAUUCAUGUAAUGAUAUUUUAACUCAUGAUUUGAUAUUAUAAUGCAUGCAAUAAUAUUGUUUUGACUUGAAUUCAAAGGAUAUUAUUUUUUUAAUUCGAGUUUACUUUAUUUCAAUGUGGCAUAUUGAAGGGGGGAGUUUAGUUUAAACUUCACUAUCAAUUAGUUAUCAUUAUCAAAAAGAAAAGAUUGUCAAAUCUCGGAUUUUGAUGAUGAAAUCAAUUAAUGAAGUUAUAAUCUAAUAUGUAUUAGAGUGACACAGGACUAACUUUAAUCAUAGAAAGACAAAUUGAUUGAAGCAGGAAGAAUAAGACGUUGGGCCGAAGUGAAUUAUGUCAAAAGAUUGAACGUCGGGUCGAAGGACUAGUUGACAUGUUAGAAGGACUUUGUGUCAUGAGUUUGGGCAUCGGACCGAAGGAUCAAAUAUUGCUACAAGGAAAUCGAAUAUUGCGAGAGGUCAACAUGCCAAUCGAGCAAUACGCCAAAGGAUCAGACGAAGUGCCGAAUGAACCAAUGACAUGUCGGACAACAUAGGAUUCAUGUUUAUAAUCGAUUGUGUCUAGAUCAAAGUAAUUUAGGUCUAAUUGAGUUAGUUUUGAAUGUAACCAGGCUAACCCAAUUAGGGGCCCAUUGGACCUAAGUUAGGGCUAUUUUGGCCUAAGUGGAAGGCUCAUUCAGUGACCUAUAACUAGCCCAGGUUGUGGUACCACUAGGUCAAGCGGUGGAACCACCUGUAAGAUUUUGUACAUCUCUGGGAAACCCGGGCGGUGGUACCGCCCAGUGUCAAUCUGCCAAGCGAUAGUACUGCCUAGACUGAGCGGUGGUACCGUCAGUUGGCAGGGCUACAUGCAGUGGUACCAUCCAGUAAUGACGAUGGUACCACCAGUACCUCAGAAACCCGGGAUAAGUUCUUUUUUGGUUUUAUUUUUGAAGUCAUUUAGGGUUUAUGAAUACCCCACUCUUUCUUACGUAGGUAAGCAAGAAAUAGUGGGCCUAAUUUACUUAUUUAUUUUUUCCUUAAACACUGAGUUAAACUAGUAAUAACAAGUUUAUUUAUUUAUUUAUUUAUUUAUUUAUCCCAUAUUAAGCAACAACGAUAAUAACAACAUGAGAAAGAAUCGUGAGCCCUAAUUUAUUUAUUUAUUUUUUCCUUAAACGCCGAGUUAAACUAGGCCUCUCUUUUUAUUUUUUUUAUUUUUUUAAUGGAAUCAUUAAAAUAGAGUUAGUUUAUAUAUCGGCCAAUGCCCGAACCGAUAUAUACCAUUACUAUCAUGCUAUUUCAAAUGGUACAGUAGUCCAUGGAACCAAUAUUAGUGUCGAUGUAGGGAAUAUAUCCACGUGUCAACAACGAACAUACAACUCGAUGUCUUCCCUCCUCACCUUUUUCUAACAUGACGCAGUCAAACAAGAAGUUGAUUCAGUAAAAUUCAAUCCAGAGAAGCAUAUUACAGCUUGGGACUAGUCCAACCUAGCUUCACUUGUCUUAAGCCGAGCUCAUCUGUGAAUAUGAGUUUAUUUGAGUCGAUCUUUAGCUUGUUUAAAACGCUGGCUAUAUGAUAUUGGAUAGAUGUUAGAUUUUAAGGAUGAAAGAUAAAUAAAUUCUUAUAAGAACUUCAGGCAUUUGUGGGUAAUCUUGCAAAAGGGGGGAAAAAAAAAGAAGGAUGAAAAGUUUAAAUUCUGGCCACCAAAAGAUCACAAGAAUAGUGCAUAUGGCUCCAAGUUCUACCAUAUGAAAAUGAAAGUCAUUUCAAUUCUGAAAGCCUAGGUCAUAGUAACAUUUACAAAAGGGUGUACUUAAAAAACGAGAGAAUGGAUCACAUGUGAAAUGCUGAAAUGCAAGGGAAUUAUUGAAACGCACUUGAUUUUUGAAACGAAUGCAGAAUUUGCUUUUGUGCUAACCCAGUUAUGUUCUAUGACAAGUAAUAUGGGAAAGGACUGCAUGAUUUCAUUAAGAUACUGUUAUCACAUCAAACACUUAAGGUGGCAACUAAUAACUGAGAUAAGCCAACUUAUUACCAUGGUAUGGCAAAGAAAUGAAACAUAGAAACAAUCUGCAAAAGAUUCAUGUUGUUCUGAAUGAAAAAAAAAAGUCUUUUUCAUGGUGAAGAUAAAUACACUGUCUGUCUAUGCAGAUACUUCAAAUAUAUGGAGUGUGUUCCAAAAUAAAACAAAAUUAAUACACUUCUGUUUCUCUACCCUGAUAACAUAGAGCUAGAAGUUUGUUGAUCAAUUAAUGCAUGCAAUAUGACCAAAAAAAAGAAAUUUUUUGUUGAACUCUUAGUUAAUAACUUAGUGUACCAUGUAUGGAAAGUAAAAGAGGGUUAAUACAUGUAUGGACUAAUCACGUAUUAAUUCUAUAGGAGUUAAUACAUGUAUGGAAAAUAAAAAUACAUAGGAGAUCAUUGUGGAGUUCGCACAGUCAUAUACACGCGGUAGUUGUACGUCAAAUCAGAUCACAUAUGCAUCACAAAUCACGUAUACCGGAUCACAGACAUGAGGAAAAGGCAUACUGUUUCCCUUAGUAACAAGUACACAACGGGAAAAGAUAAAGACGGAAUUCAAUGACCCGGGACCCAAGACUACUAGGUUUCACUCCUUAGAACAGUUAAUAGGCCGUAUGGAAGACGUCGACAGGGAGAAGGAUGAUGAUAACCUAAUUAGAUCGCGAUGGGAUAAUGUUUAGACAGUGUAUCCUUAAUUCCAAGUUCCUUUGGUUUGGAGUAAUUCAAAGAGGAAAAAACUACAUGACGUCAAAUUGAUAGAAAGAUAUGCUGAAAACCACUGCAAAUUUGAGUAGAUGGCUAAAAUAUUAAUCCGGAAAAAAGCAUGAGUACGGGGCACGUGCGAUGUGGCCAUCCUUCAUUUCACCAAACCCUAAGCACGAGCUCGCAACAAGAAGAUCAAGAAGCAACACACAAACAACGACAGCUGCAGCAGCAGCAGCAGCAGUAAGAGAGCAAAGGGAGAGAAAGGGUGGGUUUGGAAUGUUAACCUGGAGCUGGCGAACUCGUAGAGCUUCCCCCGGGAAGAGAAGACGAUGAGGGCGACCUCGGCGUCGCAGAGGACAGAUAGCUCGUAGGCCUUUUUGAGCAGCCCGCUCCGUCGCUUGGAGAAGGUCACCUGCCGGCUGGCCGCGUUCUCUAUCCGCCGUAUCUGUGUCUUUCCCCUCACCAUCCUCUUCUUUCCCCCCUCCCUUCCUCCCGCUUCUUUUCUCGGAUCGAUCCAAAAGAAAAGAUUCAGAACGAGAUCAAAGUAGAACGCAAGCAGGGAAGAUAAGGAAAAGGGAGGAGAUCUCGGAUCUCACCGACCGACGAAGAUGGGAAGAGGCAAGCAAGAGCAAACAAAGGAGGUGAGACAAAGAUAAAGGGUUUUCUUUUAUGAGGGCCUGUUGCUUUGUUACCAUAAGUGUCCCUUGCUGGGGUUUCCCGGAAAAGAAAAGAGGACUUCGAAGAGAGGGGGAAGCGAUCGUCUAAGAUCAGCAACACUCGGCGAGUGGGCACGGAUCCGAUGGACCUACUCGGAGCUCCAGCUCCACGAAUCGCCUUUAACCGUCUUCCAUGGGCGCCCACCACUUUCCAGCGGCGAUUGGUGGGAAGUCGAUGGACGGCGCGAUGGUCGCUCCUCCGGAUGCCGACCCACCCACUCCGGGAGCACGGCCCCACCAAUCGUCUUCUUCCCCUUCCGUGGGGCCCACCGCUCCUCAGCGGCGAUUGGCAGGAAUUCGAUGGACGGCGAGGCGGACGCCCCGCCGGAUCCGCGCCUCAGGCGCAUCGCGACGGCUUUCUAAAGUGGAGAAAGCCCACGAGAGGCGAUUAAAGAUUAAAAAAAAAAGGGGAGAGCGAGAAAGAAGGGAAGGGAAACUGAUUGACGACGCGUGGCCUUUUGAGAUUGACGCGUUCAUCCAACGGGGUGGGCCCCGCUUCGUACGAGGUGGGGGCGAGCGUCGUUCCGUACGGUUCAGCCAAAGGUGUCUUGCAACGUGUUCCGACGGAAAAGUAGCGCCGGUCGAAGGUGGGGAAUCCCUUACUCGACCGCCUCGGAGUUCUGUUCGCUUUCUGGACGAGCAGCCAUUCACUUACCCGUUUGUCUUACUCGGCUGUUUCGCUGCCCCGAUGUCGGUUUCAGCCAUGGCCCCGCAGGUGGAGUCCACGUGGGUCCCAGUAGCUUCCUACAAUACGAGGCGGGUAUCCACUGAUGAUGUGAUGUUUGAAUUGAGAUGUGGUCCCCCAAACUCGAAAUAGACAAUUUCAUGAGAAUGUUCUGCUGUGAGAUUAUGAUGUGAGCUUUGAAUUGAGACUUUACAUCCAUAAAGUUGAGCUCCCGUUUAUAUUUUUGAUACAUUAUCCGCAAAAAUCUAAUUCUUUAGUCCAAUUCAUCGAAGGUAAUUGGGCUGGAUAUUUAAACAAUUUAAAAAAUAAUAAAAAGUUAAUGGGCCCAAAAAAUGUAUACGAUUUCAAAAUUUUAGAAAAAAAAUAUUUAAUAUUUAAUUUCAGUUAGAAAGAAGGAACUCAAUUCCAUCUUCUCUCUCAUCAAUGUUAAGAUUCGUUACUUACAUAGGUAACGAGACAUUUAUCACCGCUCACUAAGAUGAGCAUAGUUCGGUGUACACCAUCGUCGAUCACACACGCCAUGUUCAUAUUGUCAAUCCCUCCUUCCUUUCUCUCUCUUGCUCCAUCCUAACAUCUCUUUUCGUUUAAGAGUGCUCUCUCUUUCUCUCUCUCUUUCAUCGUCAUCCCACUAAUUCUCCUCUUCAUGAAGGAGAGAUGGCCUCCUUUCGAUAGUGUUCCCCCUCUUGCAUCGCCACCCUUAUCCAACAGAAUCUUUGCCACCGUCACACCUUAGAUUUAUAUAAAAAAUAAAUAAUCAUUUUAUCAUUCAUAAUUUAUAUAAGAUUUUUUAAAUUUAAAUUUUAUAUCUUUAUAAUACUAAAUAUUUUUAAGACCACGUCUUCUCCCUAAGAUGUAUUAUAAAAAAUAUAUAAAAAAAAAUCUCAUCCACUUGCACAAACCUUAGAUGUAUUAUAAAAUAGCAUGUUGCUUUAAAAAAAAAUAUAGGUUAAAAACAAAUCAGUAACCAUAUAUAUUCGUAAGAACCUCUAAAAAAUUAUAAAAUAAUCUUCAAUAACCAUAAAAUAUAUUUAAAAAUUAAUAAUUUAGUAUAAGAUGAUAAUAUAUCAAAUUAUUAUAAAACUCAUGAAUCACAUAAAUAAUGAUAAUUCUUAUAUAACAAAUAAAACAUGUAACAUAUCUCAAUGGCAUAUACAAUAAUCAAAUAACAAAGACGUACAUCACAUUUGAUAUUGUAUUCUUCUAAUAACGAAUUGUCACGUACUUAGCUGGGUUUUCCCAGAUCAUGCGGCACCCUUGCAUGUCCGUUCGCAAAGGUCAACCUUCUUAAAACCUCCUAUGGCCCCUUAGGACCUACAAAAGAGAAAACAUAUUAGAGAAAGCGUCUUACUCGGGAUUCACAAGCAAUUAUUUCAGUAAACACUUUAUAACUAAUGCAAAUUAUAAACAAACUUUACAAGCUCUGAACGGUCACACAACAAAUGGUCCACUACAGAUCGAAAUUCCCACAAGUGCCUACAUGACACAACAUUUAUCUGCAAGCCUAGGAUAACCACCAAAACUAAAGAAAAUAAGGUUGCUAAGCCUACUAUCAGCCCUUUAUAUGUUGUGUAAAACAUAAACAAAACCGAAAGACAUAAACAUGCAUAAGCAUUACAUCGAAUACUUCAUUUACAAUUCUAUCUGUGAUAUUCUCUCCCACUUAUUCCUUCGACGUCUUUGUCGAAGCCCUUGCUGACGUUGCAACUCCUUGCCUUUACUUAGUCUUUAAUCUUCUACUCCAGCUGCAAUGCGCCUCUUGGCUCCCAACUACUCUUCACUGUUAUUGUUAAGUAGUCGAACUUUUAAUCUAUCAUGCUGCUUCAACUCACUAAUGAUUGACUUUAGUGUGGGGUUGGCUAAGUUGUGUUGAUCAUUGUUGGUUCCUAUAUAUAUCUUUCAAAUAAAGAAAAAUACCAUACUUAGUAUGCGUCAGUCUCUCAAAUGUCUCAUGCCGCUUAAACUAAGUGGAUGCUUGUUGGAGCUUUAACGAGCAUCACCUCGCAAACUUUUAAAGUUUUUAGGUCCUUCUUCCAUAAAAUUUGCCCAUUAACUAUUCUUUCACUUAAUUGUCACUUCCAAGUAUGUUCACAUCACUUCCACUUUCGAUUGACAUUCUAUUAGGAAAUGAAGCAGAUAAUCUACUCUCAGUAGCAUUGAUCACAAUUAGUGAGGAUUUAUAACUAUUGUCUUCCAUUCGAUUUCUUUAAAGGGUCUUUGAACAUAUGCAGAGCUCCUCUACUAGAUAUAUAAGAGAAUUUGGGUACUCAGUUUCGCCCAUUCUCUUAAGAGUUGAGAAGAUAAAGGUUACUUGACUUUGCUCACCUUCUCGAGGGUUGUACUCUAUGCAUCGAGCUGGUUACUCACGUUCGCCUACUCUUUACUCACACUUUUGGAGCACUCGAAGUAUUUGCACUCCUUAUAUUGAGUUAGCUACUGUAAUUCACCUUCUUAAUGCCAUCAAACUUCUGGAAUGCAGGAAGUUUUCACCCAAACUUGGAGUAAGUCUCUAGUAGUUUUGGUCGCCUUUGGGAUUGUACCAUCUUCUCCAUUAUCUCUAUUACCUACUCCACUGAGUAUCAAAGGUAUAACACCAUAUAUUAUCUACUUUGUUUCUUGGUUGUGCACUUGCAUUGACCCAAGUCCUCCACUUUCGGUUAUCUUGAUGAGAAGCUCGUUGAUACCGGUUUUACGAAGUUCUCUAGUCUCUGCUCUUUAAUCUUAUCUCAAUACUUAGAGUUUGUCUCUGCAUUCUCCACCUUCUCAGCCCCUUUUAUGACCAAGUGCUUUCCCUCUAUGAGAGCAAAGAUUGAUGACUUCACGGAAGUCCCGCCUCUACGAUACCAUGGCGCUACCAUGCCUAUGGCCCUACUAUCCGUCGCCUCAUAUCUACAUCCCUUUCUUCGUGAUCGGUAGAUCUGCCUUUGUGACACUCCUCCGAGUCUACCUCUAUUAUAACCGAUGCUUAGUUUUGGGUAGCUAAGUCCCUUCGGACUUGUCUUCGCUUCCUCGCCCCUUUUGAUCCCUUACUUCAACACAUUUGUGUUCUCCAAGCAAUUCCCCUUGGUCCAUGGAAAGAUACACUGCAACUCUCAUGCAUAGCCUAUGCUAUCAUGUUACAGGGUUUGUACCAAUUAUGUUCUCAUUAGCUUUCUUGGUAGUAACGUUCACUUACUCGGCCUUGUCAUUUGACUUAUCGGGCUCUCUUAAGCGAAUAUAAACUCUAGAGUAGUCCAACUCUCUAAUCGCUUUGAUCAUACCUCUAUAUGAUCAAUUCCCUCCCAUGGGACUCACUGGUACUUACAUUCGGUAUACUCCCUCGGUGGUACAUAGCCCCCAUAUGUUGAUGACCAAAGUUUUUAUCCGAUGUAAAAUUCGAUGCACAUACGGAAGACUUGCCUCUACGAUACCAUAACAUUCACUCCUUGAAUCCAUAGUCUUUCUUAUCGUCAUAUUGUUCACCGAAGUGGAGCUUCCAGUAGCUCCCAAUCAUACCUCUAUAUGAUAUAGUCCCUCGUGGGAUUAGAUUUGUGCAUAUCGUAUUGCUACGAACUGUUCUACCAUGAUCCGUUGUACCAUGUCACCUCUUGAUGACAUCUCUAUUACAUUCUGGUCCUUAUGAGAUAAACUCGAAUUGUGAUCCUUCUAUGUGUGGCCUCUGCCAAUACAUCGCAGGGCCUCUUUUACCUUUGAUUGUAUUCGCUCAUUUGGCAAUUAAUCUUAGUCCACCCGGUAUUAGGUCACACCUAGAUAAAGCACCGCUCUAGGAUAAUCCAUUGCUUAGGAACACCCGAAGUCCACAAACUUCAUUGAAAUCAGUGCAUCAUUUUUUGGAUCAUGGGCCUUUGCCCCUACCAGUAAAAUCUUCGUUGUGCAUCACUUCCUUCAUGGCAACUUGAAAGACAGCACUAUGACAUAUUCCUUAAGAGUACCCGCUCCGCAUCCUCUUGCCUUGUGCUAAGGCCUUUUGAACCCAACUUCACCUUUGCAAGUUGAGUUGCCUUAGUUCCUCCAUCAAAUACUUUUCUGAGAUAAGGUGCAUGUGCCUUGAAGCUCCCUUCAUCUUUGGCACCAUGUAGGAUAAGUCCGCUCCAUCAGAAUAAGGGACCCAUAGAACAAUAUGAUCCCACUUUUGCCUCUACAAGAGUUCAUGUCUUAGACCUAUGUCCAAGGAAAGCUUCAUGUCUCCGCUCCAUGUUCCAUCUUCUAUACCAACUCCCUUCAUGUGCAUUUGGUCAUUUACUAAGUUACUCCCAAGUUGCUCUACUCCUCGAUUUGCAUUGAGUUGAUGGUGGCCCUCGCGCCCACCAUUCUACGGGUCAGCACUUUAUUAAGUUUGAUCUCCAUUUCGGCUUCAAGUGUGCCUUCAUUUGUAUUGUCAUAGGUCGCUCCCCCACUUAAUCUCACAAUGCGUCCCCCAAUGUGUUAUCUCAAGCGAGAUCAUGCGAUGACUCCUCACCGCUCGCUCAAUCCGUUAAGCUUCGUAGAGUUAUUUUAAGGUACUCCUCCUUAACAUGUGUAGUUCGUUGCACAUGGUUCUCCCUUUGGAGAGCCGGGACUUAUCCCUCCUAGAUAUCUAUCCCGUUGGAGCAACUUCUCUCUUCGCUUCCUUCUCUCUGAAAGUUUCGGAGACUGCCAUCCCCUUAGACUACUCCGUCUUGCUGAACAAACUGUGCAUUAUUCUGCUCCCGUAAACGCACUUGCUAGAUUGCUAUUCCACAUCGAUACAGCCCCCGUUACACCCCUCAAGGCCUUACAACAUGCUUAACUCGAUGCAUGCUUCAACCUCCUACAGGUGUAUCCUUCUCAUAUCGAAGAGAAAGUUUUAAUACUCCAUGGUGCCGAGUUUCGAUCGCCUUGGGAUGGUGACGAAUAUUCCAUCGUCCGCAUACAAGCACUUACAUGAGUACUGAAUUCUUUGAGUUAGCAAUUCCCCUCACCUCUUUAAGCUUUGCACAACUCUUUCGGUCGUUGAACAACUCAUUCUACCUUAUAAUGUCUCAUCCUUUACCAAGCACCUCACUUGCCUUGAGCACCAUCAAGUAUGACUGCCAACGUUGAGUCAUAGCUCGAACUUAGUCAUCUCAACCUUUAUGUGUUGCGCAUUCUUCCAAUCUUACUUGUCCUCCUAGUGCCUCUUGCGUGAAGGGUUAGUCAUUCAUCUAAAUGCUAAUCUCAGAUGCCCGCUCCUCUAAGUGACUCCUCUUUCCUACAUCUCCAUACUUAUUUUCCCUCAAAUAGUCGCGCGUGCUGGGUGCCCUCAACGUAGCCCCACUAGGUCUCCCACAUUUGCAUGCAGUAUUUAUAUGAGUGCUUGUCCUGCUCUGAUACAUAUGUUACACACUUAGCUGGUUUUGCCUAAGUCAUGCGGCACCCUUGCAUGUCCGUCCGCAAAAGUCAGCCUCCCCGAAACCUCCCAUAGUCCCUUAAGACCUACAAAAGAGAAAACGGGUUAGAGAACAUGUCUCACUCGGGAUCUACAAGUAAUUAUUUCAGUAAACACUUUAUAGCUAAUGUAAAUUACAAAAAUAAUUUGUAAGCUUUAAAUGAUCAUACAACAAAGGGUCCAAAAUGAUCCACUACAGAUCGAAAUUCCCACAAGUGCCCACAUGAUACAACAUUUGUUUGCAAGCCUAGGAAAGCCACCAAAAUCAAAGAAAAUGGGAUUGCUAAGCCUAUUAUCAGUCCUUUAUAUGCUGUGCAAAACAUAAAUAAAACUAAAAGACACAGACAUACAUAAUCGAACACCUCGUUUAUAAUUUUGUCUACAACAAGAUGCAAAUACAUACUCCACGAGAUAAAUUUCUCUCAACAGUGAAUGGUGAAAACCCAGGUCACACUCCUAAUAAUGGAUAGAGUAGUAUUCCUUACACAUCCAAAUAGGGAUAUGUUCCUUCCAACAAUGGAGAGAGGAACCAUCUACCACAUCGGAUAACUCCUAAUCCCUUGAUGAAACUGUGUUACCUACCUUUAGCAAGGAUACAUAAUCAUCUAUUCAUUCAUGUAUUCAAAGAAAUGAUAUAAUAAAUAUGAGAAACCAUAUAUGACCUACUAAAUUAUAUUCAUUAGUAAUCCGAUACUGUGAUGUGCACAUAACUUCUUUCACAAAUUACACUUCCAAUAUUAACUACUUAGUAUAGUCACAUAUAAUACAUACAAACAAUUAUAUCAAUAUUAUCAGUUUAAUCUCAAAAAUGAUAGAAAACCAUUAUUAUUUUAAAAUAAUAUCUUUAGAUAAAAUUUUUAAUUUUAUCAAAUCAUAAAGAUAAGGUAUCAAUCUCUUAAUAAUUCUCAUUCAAUUAGAACCCUAAUUGGAAUAACUCAAUUGACUUAAACCAAACUAAAUUUAAUUAUGACCUAGUAGAGCUAAUUUUAAAUCCUUAUAGGAUCGAUCUAGAAUUGCUUUAGACUAGUAUAAUUUGGAUAUGAUUAUUUAAAUUAGGUUAAGUUGCUUUGGAAUCAUGUUGAAUUAGCUUGAGUCAUUCUAAAUAAGUUUGAAUUAAUCAUACCUAUCUGGUUUAAUCAACUAACGAGCUCAAACUAAUAAAAAAAAUAGAUUAUGUUGCAUAGUAUUAGGUCAAAUCCAACUGUCCUACUUGAAGUUUGGAUGGGUCAUGUGUGUCACACAUAUCUUUCCUAAGUAGUAGGUUAGACUAAGGUACAACGGGCUGGAUAGAGGGGUAACGAUGUGUCUAACACUGAUUGCAUAGUUAGGCAUGCCUAGCUUCAUGAGCUAGGUUAAGCCUCACUCACAAGUUGGGCCCAGCCUCAUCGUUGAAUUUAGUCACACUUGGUUCGUGGAUUGAGUCAUGCCUAGCCACAUGAGUUAGGAUAUACCUAACCAUAUGGGUUGGGUAGUGCCUAACCACAUUAGCUAAGUUGUUAGGCCCAGCUUUAUCGUUAAAUUGGGUCAUGUUUGGUUCAUGGAUUGAGUCAUGUCUAAUCACAUGAGUUAAGUUAUACUUAACCAUAUGAGCUGGGUAGUGCUUAACCACAUGAGCUAAGUCGUACCUGACCAUAUGAGCUAGGGCGUACCUGACCACAUAAGCUGAGAUUAUACUUGACCAUAUAAUUUAUAUUGUACCUAACCAUAUAGGCCAGAACAUAUCAGUUGGGUCAUACUUGACUACAUGGGCUGGGUUGUACUUCGUUAUAUGGGUUGGAUCAUUCAUAACUAUAUUGAUUGGUUCAUGCCUAACAACAUGGGCUAAAUCAUAUUAUUUGACGACAUGGGCUAAGUUAUACCUAAUAAAAAUUUAGUCUCUAAAUUUGACAUAAAAAAUAAUAUUAAUACAAGAUAAUUUACACUUGAAAUGCUAAGUCAAAAAGUUAAAUCUAAAUAAACUUGAAAACAUUGAAAUGUAAAUAUGCUAGUUGAACUUUGUCCGUUCCUGCUUUUUAGUUCCUUCUUUUUCUUCACCGAAUGCCAGGUACAUCAAGGUUGAACUUUGUCUUAGCCACGGAUUCUCUUCAUGGUGGACCUGUUAACUAUGUGACAUUGCAUGUAUUCCUCUACCAUAUGGAAUUAUCAAGUAUUUAUAGUUUAUACCGUCGAAAAUCAUAAUAUAAGGUUUGUAUCACAUAAUUUAAGUUUUGCAUUAAGCAAUAUUUUUUUAGAUUUUUUUGUAAAUUUCAAUAUGUACCAAUGUACAUUGAUAUGAGUCAGAUUCGUAUAAAUGUGACGGUAUGCAUUCGGUAUCCGAUAUUAAAAAUCUUAUUCUUUAGAAAAACUCUAGACCACAGUCGUAAAAUAUGAAACUCAAGUACCAAAAGUGCCUAACUUUUGUAGCACUUUGUUUCAUUUAUCUCAAUUAGCUAGUAAUUGAGGUAACUAAGGCAAUAAAGAAGAAUAUUAUAAAAAGAGACCUAACUAUAUAUUGCCUCGAUUAAUUACUUUUAGCUUUUGGAUCCCUAUAUUUUAAAAAAAUUAUAUUGGCAUCCAUAUACUUACGAAAGUGAAACGAUUUGAUUCACUUACACUAACGAUGUCAGUUUUUAAUGAAAAUAUAAAAAUAAAGGGUAAAAUGAUAAUUUUAAGUUCAGUGGUGGACAACAUCGAUCGUAGACGACAAAGCUGCUGGUGUCGGUUGCGACGCAUGACGGCGCCACUAGCGUCGAUGGUGGUGGACCCCCUCCCCUUCCCCCCAUUCUUGGCAUCGAGCAGUCCUCGACCACUUCCUCAUCGCUACCCCCCUCCACUUUGCCCCUCGUUUUCCCCUUCUCCUUCUUGUUGGGUCCAGCUCAUAUGUGGGCUUGGACAAAUUGGAUCAUUUGAGCCCAAAUCAAAGAAAUUAAAGAAAUAGAGAGAGAAAGGGCAAAAUGAGAAAGAGAAAGGUUAGAGGUGCAGCGUGCGGUGACGAUCGGUGGCCAAAUAUUGUCAGUUUUGGCCUAAAUUUUAUGUGGAGAAUCCUUACAGUAAACUCUACAAUCCUAACGGUGUAGAUUUGCAGUUUACCCUCUCUAAAGUACUUUCCUGCUAUAUCCACUCUGUGAAACCUAAAAUUCUCUUUGAGGAGAUUCAUCCUACGUGAUGACAUGAUGAUAUACUAGAGCCAAGAUCUAUGUUCUUGAUAUUAUUCUGAUCCUCUAGUUAUUCUAGAGAAGAUCUACUGUAAACUUGUUAUCAUUAUUAUUGAUAAUGGAAGUUUGAGGUGGACUACGGUCCCGUGAUUUUUCCCACAUUGGGUUUUCCACGUUAAAAGAUUUGGUCUCACUGUGUGAUUGAUUAUUUGCUCUAUUGUUUAUGCUGUGCUGGUUGAUAUUUUCAUUUGGAUAUCAAGUUGGUAUUUUGAUAAGGAACUCAUUUUGAUACACAAAGAGGGAAAAGAAUAUUCCGCUUUAACAGGUUUUUCCCAACAAGUGGUAUCAGAGCAACAUGUUGUUUGGUGCUAGUUUUUCUUGUGUGAUUGAAAUGGAGCAGUCAGAUAGUAUGAUUAAAUUGAACUCAUCAAAUUAUUCCACUUGGAGGUAUCUGAUGGAAGAUUUGCUCUAUUGCAAAGAUUUGUAUAAGCCCAUCAAGGUUAAAGAUAAACCUUCUACUAUGUAUAAAGAUGGUGGUAACAUUGUUGAGCACAUAAGCCUAUUUCAGAGUCUUGCAAACAAGUUGGUUGCUAUGAAAAUGAAUAUAGAUGAUAAGAUGCAAGGAUUACUACUUCUCAGCUCCUUACUAGAAAGUUUGGAAACGUAUGUGGUGACUAUUUGCAACUCCACGCUAGAGGGAACUCUAACUAUAGAUAUGGUUAAAGACAGUUUGCUAAAUAAAGAUGCCAGAAGGAAAGAAUAAGUUGAAUCUUCUUCUGGGGCAUUUGUUACUGAAAAACAAGAAAGACGUGGAAAAAGUCAUAGCAGAAACCCACGUGGAUAUAGAGGAAGAUCCAAGUCUAGAAGAGAUAUCAAAUGUUUUCACUGUAACAGGCUAGGUCACAUGAAGAAAGAGUGUAGAUUUUGGAAGCGAGAACAGAAUGAAAUGAAGAAAAAUAAGAAAGAGACCAAUACAGUUGCUGCUGAAGGUAAUAUCACUAUUGUCUAUGAUGAAGGUUGUGUUAGUCUUGUAGCUCAGGACAGUAAUUGGGUAAUUGACUCUGGUGCUUCAUUUCAUGUUACUUCUCAUGGUGAUUUCUUUAGAUCUUACACUGCUGGUGAUUUUGGUAAUGUCGGAAUGGAAAACAGUGGUACAUCUAAGGUUGUGGGUAUUGGAGAUAUUUGCUUGGAGACCAGUAUUGGGAGCAAAUUGAUACUCAAAGAUGUAAUGCAUGUUCCAGAUAUUCGUCUUAACUUGAUAUCUACAAGUAGACUUAAUGAUGAAGGCUUUGCACACUAUUUUGGUGAAAGCAAAUGGAAACUCACUAAAGGUUCUCUGAUUGUGGCAAGAGGAAAGAAACUUAACUCUUUUUAUGUCAUGGAAGCUAAGCUACACAAAGGAGAGAUUAAUGCAAUUCAAAAAGGUGAAAGUAUAGAUCUUUGGCACAAGAGGCUUGGUCAUAUCAACGAGAAUGGACUUCAAACUCUUGCUAGAAAGUAGUUCUUACCAGAGUUGCAAGGUACAUCUCUUAAAUCUUGUAAUCAUUGCUUAGCUGAAAAAACACAUAGAGUUGCAUUUCAGACAUAUCCAUCAUCUAAAAGAUCAGAUGUUAUUGAUUUAGUUCAUACUGAUGUUUAUACUAUGCAAACUAGAACUCUUGGAGGUGCUCUUUAUUUUGUUACUUUUAUUAAUGAUCAUUCUAGAAAAGUGUGGGCUUUUGCUUUGAAAUCUAAAGACCAGGUACUCGAUGUUUUCAAGGAGUUUCAUGUCAGUGUUGAAAGAGAAACUGGCAGGAAACUAAAGUGUAUUCGAUCAGAUAAUGGUGGCGAGUACAGGAGUCCUUUUGAGAAUUAUUGUAGGUUCCAUGGUAUCAGGCUUGAGAAAACAGUUCCUAAAACUCCUCAAUAGAACGGUGUGGCAGAAAGGAUGAACAGAACCAUUGAAGAAAUGAUUAGGUGUAUGCUUUCCCACGCCAAGUUACCAAAGUCAUUUUGGGGGGAGGCUAUGAGAACUAUAGUUGAUCUGAUAAAUCUUUCUCCAUCAGUUCCUCUGAAAGGUGAUGUUCCAGAGAGAGUAUGGAGAGGAAAAGAUAUAUCUUAUAAUCACUUAAGAGUCUUUGGGUGUAAAGCAUUUGUUUAUAUUCCCAAAGAUGAGAGGUACAAGCUUGAUAGUAAAGCAAAAGCAUGUAUCUUCUUGGGAUAUUGUCAUGAAGAGUUUGGGUACAAAUUAUGGGAUCCAAUGAACAAGAAGAUUAUUAGAAGCAAAGAUGUUGUAUUUCUUGAGGACCAAUUGUUUGAUGAUGGUGAUAAUAUUGAGAACCCAGAAACCUCUGUUUAUAUUCCUUGGAGUUUGGGUACAAUUUCUUCACCUGUAGUUCAUGAUGAUCAUGGGGGAGAUGAACAAGAAAAUUGUGGUGAGAAUACCAGUGAUGAUACACCUACAGUUGAUGAUGCUGAACCAAAUGAACAGGCACCUCCACCACCAGUUGAGAUUCCAUUGAGAAGAUCCACUAGAGAGCGACAACCAUCUACCAUAUAUCCUCCACAUGAGUAUGUUAUGUUUACUGAUGGGGGAGAACCAGAAACUUACCAAGAAGCUAUUCUACAUGAGAAUAAGAGUGAGUGGGUUAAAGCCAUGCAAAAAGAGAUGAGAUCCUUGCUUGAGAACCACACCUAUGACUUGGUAAGAUUGCCUAAACAGAAGAAAGCUCUCAAGAAUAAGUGGGUUUAUAAAUUGAAGACUGAAAAUAAUAGCUCACAACAAAGAUACAAGGCACGACUAGUUGUGAAAGGAUUCAGUCAAAAGAAAGGUAUUGACUUUGAAGAAAUAUUUUCUCUAGUUGUGAAAAUGUCCUCUAUCCGAGUUGUUCUUGGUUUGGCUGCCCGCUUGAAUUUAGAAGUUGAGCAACUUGAUGUAAAAACAGCAUUUCUUCAUGGUGACUUAGAAGAAGAAAUUUACAUGGAGCAACCAGAAGGUUUCAAAGUCAAGGGAAAAGAAAAUAUGGUGUGUAAGCUUAGGAAAAGCUUAUAUGGACUCAAACAGGCACAUAGACAAUGGUACAAGAAGUUUGAUUCCUUUAUGAUGAGCCAAGGGUAUGAUAGAAUCACAUCUGAUCAUUAUGUGUUUAUGAAGAAAUUUUCAUAUGAUGAUUUUAUUAUUUUAUUACUAUAUGUUGAUAAUAUGCUGAUUGUUGGCCAUGAUGUUGGAAAAAUUGGAAAGCUUAAAAGAGACCUAAAUAAGUCUUUUGCCAUGAAAGACUUGGGAUCGGUGAAACAAAUACUUGGCAUGAAGAUUCUUCAUGAUAGGAAGAAAAGGAAGAUUUGGCUAUCUCAGGAGACUUACAUUGAAAAUGUUCUUGAAAGAUUCAAUAUGAGUAAAGCCAAAGCAGUUUGUUCUCCACUUACAGGUCAUUUCAAGCUUAGUUUGAAACAAUGUCCUACAAGUGAGAAAGAAAAAGAAGAAAUGUCCAUAGUGACUUACUCAUCUGCAGUAGGCAGUUUGAUGUAUGCUAUGGUUUGUACUAGGUCAGAUAUAGCUCAUGCAGUUGGAGUUGUCAGUCGAUUUCUCUCUAAUCCUAGAAAGGAACAUUGGGCAGUAGUGAAAUGGAUAUUAAGAUAUCUAAGAGGUACUUCCAGGUUGUGUUUAUGUUUUGGCAGUGAUGAACCUGUGUUAGAAGGUUACACAGAUGCAGACAUGGUAGGUGAUACUGAUUCCAGGAAAUCCACUUCGGGAUUCUUGAUGACAUUUGCAGGAGGAGCAGUCUCUUGGCAGUCUAAAUUACAGAAGUGUGUUGCUCUAUCAACCACAGAAGCAGAAUACAUAGCAAUUACUGAAGCCUGCAAGGAAGCUUUAUGGAUGAAAAAGUUUCUCCAAGAAUUCAACAUACCAUUCUAGAUCCAAGCAUAUUGAUGUGAGAUAUCACUGAAUUCGUGAUGUGCUUGAGAUGAAAGAAUUACAGUUGGAAAAGGUGCAUACGAAUGAGAAUGGUUCAGAUAUGUUGACAAAGUCUUUGCCUAAGGAGAAGUUUAAAAUAUGUAGGCGAAAGCGGGCUUGGUACAGCCCACCAUAUGAGCUGGAGGGGGAGAAUUGUUGGGUUCAGCCCAUAUGUGGGCUUGGACAAAUUGGGUCGUUUGAGCCUAAAUCAAAGAAAUUAAAGAAAUAGAGAGAGAAAUGGCAAAAUAAGGAAGAGAAAGAUUAGAGGUGCUGCGUGCGGCGGCGUGCAGCGAAAAGAGGAGAGAGAAAUAGAGAGAGAAAGAUUAGGUUUUUGAGUUUUCUGCUUGACGAUCGGUGGCCAAACGUUGUCGGUUUCGGCCCAAAUUUUAUGUGGAGAAUCCUUGCAGCAAACUCUACAAUCCUAAUGUUGUUGAUCUACAGUUUACCCUCUCUAAGAUACUUUCAUGCUAUAUCCACUCUGUGAGACCUAAAAUUCUCUUUGAGGAGAUCCAUCCUACGUGAUGACAUGAUGAUAUACUAGUGCCAAGAUCUAUGUUCUUGAUAUUAUUUUGAUACUCUAGUUAUUCUAGAGAAGACCUACUAUAAACCUGUUAUCAUUAUUAUUGAUAGUGGAAGUUUGAGAUUGACUACGGUCCCGUGAUUUUUCCCAUAUUGGGUUUUCCACGUUAAAAGAUUUGGUCUCACUUUGUGAUUGAUUAUUUGCUCUAUUGUUUAUGCUGUGCUGGUUGAUAUUUUCAUUUGGAUAUCAAGUUGGUAUUUUGAUGAGGAACUCAUUUUGAUACAUAAAGAGGGAAAAGAAUAUUCCGCUUUAACAAGUUUUUCCCAACACUUCUCCACCCUCGCCCUUGGCGUUGAGUAUGUUAGCCACCUUUUUCAUGGCAACUCUGUUGCCACCCUCAUUCACGCCCUCUCUUCCCUUUGCCCGUCGUCAUCUCUUGGUCUUGUUCCCUCACCUGCCCUCCGUUUUGACUUCUUCAUCAAUUGGACCCACCAUCUCAUCAUCGACCUCGACAUUCCUCACGUCUUGCUCAAGUUCUCCACUAACCACCGCUUCAAUGAGUUCUUUGCCUACUUGGACAUCUUGAGCAUUGGCUUCCAAGUGAUCAGCGAGCAAGAACUGAAAAUGUGAGGAAUCAAGGUUGGUCCCUGACCCAAUUACCUUGUUGGAUGAAAACCUCAACAGCUUCGAAGCGAUAUACAUCAACAUGUCCACCAGAGUUGACAGCACUAGCAGCAGCAUCCUCGACGAGUACUUCACCAGCAGCAACACGAUCUCCUUGAUCAGUGCUAGAUUACGUUGCAACCUUCUUCAUAUUCUUAGGCUGAAGUUAUGAACAUGAUGAUAGCAAAAAAGGUGGCGGACAUGAUGGCACACGUGCUCAACGCUAUGGGCGAGGGUGGAGAAGAAGGGGAGAAUGAAGGGAGAGGCGAAGGGGGUAGCAACGAGGAAAUGGUCGAAGAGGUGAAGAACGAUGGUUGCUUGAUGUUGGGGACAAGAGGGGAGGAGGAGGGGUUGGUCACCACCAUUGUCAGUGACGUCGCCAUCACGUCAUCGACUAUCGAACUUAAAAUUACUUUUUAUUUUUUAUUUUUAUAUUUUCAUCGAUAAAAACUGAUGUCCUUAAGGUAAAUGGAUCUAAUCGUUUUACUUUCAUAAUAAUAUGAAUAUCAAUAUAAUUUUUUAAAAUAUAAAGAUCGAAAAAGUAAAUAUAAUUAAUUAGAAAGUGAUAAUAUAUUUAUAUAGUUGGUCGCAUCCGAACAAAAGAGUGACGUUUGGCUUUGCCUGACUCUACAUUUUAUAUUAUAGAUAUAGGAUAUGCCAUGAUAUAUUAAAAUACUGCUUUAUUGGCAAAGUGCAGAUUGGCAUUUGAAGAUAUUUGGAGAUAUGACCACAAGCCAUAGGAAUCUGGAGUGUGGAGCGUGAGACGGUGUGAAGGGAGGCUUGGAAAUUGGAUGGAGUCAUCGGAUGUGAAGCCGAAAGAGAAGGCCGGGUGGGAUCCAGCGAAGGCAAUGGGGGCGGGCGUGGAGUCUUGUUCUUGGCUGUAAUGCAGAACAGAUAGCACCAGCUGGGGAAGCUGCCAUUGGACUUCACUGACACUAUAUCUAGAAAACUAGCUAUUAGUUUCACGAAAGGUACAGAAGUAAUGCUUCCCUCAGAGAUAACUAAACCUAGUUGGUCAUUUGCUCUGUUCUUAAGACUGGGGAUGACAGCGGAUUGAAUUUUUUGCAUUAAAGUUAGAAUGCUUUCGAUUGUUUGGAGUUGGAAUAUUUGCUAUAUGGAUCGUUUUGUUGUUAUUGAGUCAGGUAAAAAAUAAUAUUCUUAGUUAUUUAUAAUUUUUUUAUAAAAUCAUCUCUUCGUAUCACUAAAUAUUAAAUUUUAUAGUUUGGUUAAAAAUAAUAAAUCUUUGAGUCGGGUAUACUCAAAUGAAAUUCAAUUGUUAAUUGAUAUCGAUAACAAAACAAUUUUUGUUAGGUAUUUAAGUUUACGGACAUAAUUAAAUUGGAUUUAGAUGUCAUUUUAUUGAGUUUAGAAUGGAUUCGGAUAAGGAAAAUAGAAAUGUGUAGAUAGACAAAAAUCAUAUUCUUAGUUAUUUAUAUUUUUUAAUAAGACAUUAUUAGGUUUUCAUUUAUCUCUCUAUCACUAAUAUUAAUUGUUUCACAUCUUUUAUAUACGGUAUUUAUAUAUCUUGGAUUUUCUCGAAUAUGUCAUGACCUAUUUUUAUUUAAACCAGGUUUGAGUAGUUUUCCUUGCAUUUAAGACGAGUUUGGAUUAAAAAAAUAGAUAUUUAAGUCAGAUUUUGAGAUUUAAGUGAUUCAAAUUCAUGAAAUUCAAUUGUUGAAUGAUACCAAUAACAUAGCGAGCUUUCUCAAGUAUUUAAGUUUAUAGACAAUUAAAAUGGAUUCAGAUGUCAUUUUAUUGGCUUUAGAAUGGAUUCCGAAAGGAAAAUAGAUAGGAUUAGAUAGACAAUAAGUCGAGUCGGGUUAUGUGAGAAUUAUUCAUGAUUUACAUAAAAAUAAAUAAAAAGUUAUUUUGUGCUUGAGGUUCACUUAGACUUAAGAGAACUCGGAAUUGUUUGCCGAGGACAUAUGGAAGGAGAGUGUCGAACUAUGUAGAUCUUAUGUUUGCUUCUAUUGUUAUUGUUGAUUAUCUGCGCUGUUCUACUAGUAUGAAGGCGAUUUACAAGUGCCGAAAGAAUAAUGUUGUAUCAAUACAAUUGUCAUGUUAUUAAGAAUCAAAACACUUGUUUGUUCUCAACUUGAGACAUGGAACCAUCCAUAUACAAUUGAAAUACACACAGUUGGACUACAGAAGCAAUCGUGUACAUGAUAGACUACAAUAUAACCUAACAAGACCUGAAAUUUCAAAAGAUCUAACAUGGAUUACAGGAAACAACUUCACCAUAUGAAAAAUAAAAAUCUGUGAAUCCUGAAGUACCUUCAUUUUCGAUUUCAAGAAUUCCUUCCUGGUCUAAAAGCUUCUUUGUUCGCAAGACCUACUGUAUCAGUUGAACUCUUGCCAUGUCUUUCUGCAGUGCUGGUAUCUCUCAUUGCUGUCACUGCACUCGUGCUAACCUGCAGGACACUCGACGAGGAUUCAUCCGAAGGGCCAUAGGUACUGUCGCCGCCUGGUUCUUGGUGCACUGCUCUUUCAUGGAGUUGCAAGGCAUACUCCAAGUUCCAGAGAACAUCUCCCAUUGUUGGCCUAUCGAUUCCAUAUUGUGCCAAACACUUCUCCACAGUCUCACCAAAUUUCUUCAGCGACUUGCGAUUGGUCCUCUCCUUCAAUGAGGGAUCAAUGAUUCUCUCAAGAAGCCGUUUUUUCUGCCAGUGCAUCGCCCACUCAGCUAAGUUUACCUGUUCCCAUGGAAGGGACUGGUCGAUGACAGGUCUCGCACACAAGACUUCAAGAAGCACGACACCGAAGGAGUACACAUCAGACUUAUCGGUGAGCUGCUGUGUCUUGAAGUACUCGGGAUCGAGAUAGCCAAAGCUUCCCUUGACACCGGUGCUCACAUGAGACUGGUUGGUUGAAGUGCCUAAUUUUGACAGACCAAAAUCUGCAACUUUGGCAGCGUAGUUCUCAUCCAGCAAAAUAUUCGAGGAUUUAACAUCGCGGUGAAUGAUCACUUGAGCAGAACCAGUGUGCAAGUAGUGCAGACCCCUCGCAGAGCCAAUGCAAAUCUCGAGCCGUUGUUUCCAAGAUAAAGAUGGAUUCCUUGAGCCAUACAGAUGGUCUCUCAGGGGACCCUUCUCCAUAAACUCAUAGACCAAGAUCUUCUCUGCCUGCUCCUCACAGUACCCGAUGAGCGAAACAAGGUGGUGAUGGCGGAUCUUAGACAGGAUCUCAAUCUCUGUUUGGAAUUCCCCAAGUCCUUGUUGAGACCCACGGGUGCCUCGCUUCACAGCAAUCUUGGUGCCAUCUCUGAGUACACCUUUGUAGACCUUCCCGAACCCUCCUGCCCCAACAAGAGCAUUCUCAUUGAAAUUGUUUGUAGCCAACACAAUUUCGAAGAAAGGUACUCUGAGCUGAAGAUUAGGGUUGUUGGAAGGGGAUCCAGUGGUCAACUCUGUCAAUCUAAGAUACGAAUUCCCUGGGAGGACCGGCAAUGGCGACCAAGUAUCAGCAUCUUGUGACUGAGGCAUCUGAUCCUUCCGACUCUUCCUCUGAGCCAUGAUAACAACCAGCACCAUGAUAGCACAAGCAAGGAUCAAGCAACCGAGAACAGAAGCAACAAUUACUCCAAAAUGUCUGCUUUUUCUACUGUCUUCAUUCGGGGACGAAACAACCCCAUUAAUCUUCAGUAUCUCCACGCCGUUCAGCAGAGCAUUGAUCUUCGAUGGAAGGCUGUGUUCUGAAGGCCCAAUGCUGAUAUUAAUGCCCCCGGUACUGCUUCGAUGCAGGACAACAAAGUCUACAUAGUAAGGUGAAGCCAAAGUGUAACUGGAUUGUGAUGAGAGGUCGAGAUCCUUAUAAGCAGGGUACCCGUUGAUGUACACAUUGAAGAAGAGCUCGUUCAGUGCGCUGCUGACUAUGUCACAGAAGUGCAAUCUAACAAGGAAUCCAUGGACCGAAUUUGGCACCGGAAAAUUCCAGCUUAUGUUGAAAUAAUUGGAAGGUGAAGAAGAAUUUGAUGAGUCACCCUUGUUCAUGGCUCUUGCAGUUCCAUAGACGUAGUCAGGUGCAAUCUCUGGCGUGGCUCCGCCGUCUCUGUACUGAAUAUGACUACCAAAGGUGACACUUAUAGCUCGGGCUGGGUUCUGGAGGUACUUGUCGUCGGGUUCCCAGGUUCGCCAGAGGGUGUCAUUGUCGGGGGUGACGAAGGAGCCGCCCACAUUGAUCCGGAAGACGGUUUCCAGCAGAUGGUUGGAGAGCGGGGCGUCGGAGAAAGAGAAGAGGGAGGGGAUCGGGGUGAAGGCAUCGGAGAAGAGACGGUCCGGGGCGGAGAAGAGCUCGAUUGCGUUGAUGAAGGCGACGGUGGAGGGGGAAGCGGGGGAGAAGGUGAGGCGGAGGGAGGAGGAGUUGGGCUUGAGAUAGAACUCCCUGACGAGGGGGCGGGGAGGUGACGCCGCCGCCGCGGGGGAGAAGAGGGAGAGGAGGGGGACGCCGGAUGCGGAGACGUUGAAGAGGGCGGCGGAGAGGUUGAGGGAGGGGGAGGGGAAGGGGUGGAAGUGGAGGCGGAGGAGGAGGCCAGCCUGGGCGGCGGCGGCGAGGUGGAAGACGUAGGAGGAGGGGCAGGGGAAGGCCCGAACCGUCCGGUAGAGCGGGGGCGGAGCGGAGGAGGAGAGGGCAGUGGAACUGCAGUCGGAGAGGGCAGCGGAGGAGGAAGAGUCGGGGACGAAAAGGCGGCCGUCGGGUAGGUCAGUGUCGCCGCCGGCGCCGCAGGCGAGGAGGAAGUCGUCGGCGGGCUGGAAUUCGGCAAUUGUGAGCGGAGCGAGGAGAAAGAGGAGCGAGAGGAUAAGUCGUUUGGAGGAAUCGAGGGCAAAAUGGGGGCUUCCGCGGCCUCUCAUUCUCUUUGCGUUACCUCCAAACUCCAACUCUACUCUCUCUCUAUAUAUCGAGAGAGAGAGAGAGAGAGAGAAAUAAUUAUUUAUAUUAAUUUAAAAUAUAAAAAAAUGUAGUCAUCACUUAUCCUAAGUCUUCUUUUGUCAUUUCGCUCAAAAGCCUAUAUGCAUUUGUAAGGGGAAAAUGACGCAUAUAAACACUUGAUGGAAUACCUUUCACUGGAGGCAUGUCAUGUGGGGUGGAUCCCAUCAACAUGUUCUCCCUCCCAUCUUUGUUGAUCGAAGAGUAGAUGUAAAUAUACGUAACCCAAAUGAGAAAAUAAAUAUUAAUGUUAACUUCUUAAUUUAUUUUUAUUAUGAAUGUCAUAAAUGACAUAUGAGAUAUAAUUUUCUUUUAUAGAUGUGAUUCGAAAGUGUUCAUGAGAUACUAUCUAAAUUUUGUUUUUAGAUGAGGACAUUCGAAUAUUUUAUAUUUAAUAAUGAGUUUGGAGUAGAAAACAGUGUGAGAUCAAUCUCCAUUGCUUUCAGUUGGUUUUGGGUCGUUAGGAAGAAGGUGGAGUACGCCAUGGAAGCUGUACCACAGCUCAUGUUGAGGAGGAAGAUAGGGACGUAGGAUUUGAGUGAGGUCGGCUUGGGUGAUAGGUGUUUAUUGGACUAUCCAUUGGAGGUCAAAUUAGGGUUACAGAUGGAUCCGCGUUGGGAGUGGAAUUUUUGUUGACCUUUUUGAAUACUGUGGUACAAAGGUUGGACACGUCUCCUAAAAAAGAAUAUUAAGGGUUCAUUCUAUCGUUAGCGUUGCAGGUCCAUGAGAUAAAAUAUCAGUUCAAUCUCCGCUAAUGAAAUUAAUUGAUAAUGUUACGAUCUAUGUAUUUAAAUGAUACAGAAUUAGCUUUGCUUCGAUCAGGAGAGGUCAAUUGAUUAAGACAGAAAGAAUAAGAAGUUGGAUCGGAAUUAAAUAUGUCAGAAGAUUAGACAUCGGACCGGAGGAAUGACGGACUAUCGGCAGAAGACUUCGUGUCAUGAGUUUGGGUAUCAGGCCAAAAAGAUCGGAUAGUGCGCCAAGGAGAUCGGAUAUUACGAGAAGACAACAUGCCGUUUGAACAAUACGCCGAAGAAGAGGAUGAUGUGCCGAAGGGUCGGACGAAGCGCUGGAUGAACCAAUGACAUGCCAGACAACUUAGCAUUCUUGCUUGUAAUAAUUUGUCUAGAUCGAAGUAGUUUUAGUUGUAAUUGGGUUGGUUUAUAAUAUAAUUAUGCUAACUCAAUUAUGGACUAACUGGGACCAAACAUUGGGUCAAUGGCAUUGUCAGUCUAGGCGAUGGCAUCGCUAGUGGCUCAGUCUCCGAGACUGUGCCAUUCGGUAGUACCACCAGGCUUGGCGGUGGUACCACCUAGUGUUAAGCGAUGGUACCGCCAAACACAGUCUCCUAUACUAUGUUAGGAGGUGAUACCACCCAGUAUCAGUGCUACAGAUGAUGGUACCGCCCAACAUAGGUGGUGGUGCUAUCAAGACCCGGGAUGAGACCUUUUUUUGCUAUAAUUUUGAAGUCAUUUGAGAUCUAUAAAUACCACAGCUAUUCUUGCAUAGAUAAGCAAGAAUUUGAGCAAAAGUGGGGGAAAGAAUCAUUGAGUAAAAAUUGUAAUAUCUCUAGAUUAGUGAGUUUCUUCCUCCCAGACUUAGAAGGUUUCUAAAGGAGAAGUGAGGUCUAAAAGAGAUGUGUAAAGGUUCUCUCCUGACCCGUGAAAAGGAGAAAAGAGUGUAAAAGGGUAGUUGUAUUGAAUCUCGAAUUUUGAUGAUAAAAUCAAUUGAUGUGUUUGUGAUCUGAUCUACAUUUUGAGUGACGUAGGAAGCUUCGAUCAGGGAGAGACAAUUAAAGCAUGAGGAAUCAUGUUGAGCCGGAGUGGAACAUUUCAAAAGAUUGGACAUCGAACCGGAGGAUCAGUCGACGUAUCGAUAGAAGGCUUCGGGCCAUGGGUUCGAGCAUCAGGCCAAGAAGAGUAGAAAUUACGCCAAGGAAAUCGGAGUUGUGGAGAUCAAUUGGUCGAUUGAGCAAUAGGCCGUAAGAGAGGACGAUGCGUUGAAGAAUCAGACGAGGCAUCGAUGAACCAAUGAUAUGUCGGACAACAUUUGAUUUAGUUUUGUAAUAAUUAUCUAGAUCAAAGUAGGUUUUAGGUGUAAUUGGGUUGGAAUUGGGCCAACUCAAUUAGGGGCCAAUUUGACCCAAGUUUAGGUUGUGUUAGGCUAAGUGAAAGACCCAAACAGUGACCUAAUAGGUGGAACCGUCAGUGGCACAAUCUUUGAGACUGUGUCAGGUGGUAGUACCACUCAAACACAGUCUCCAAGAUUGUGUCAGGCGAUGAUACCACCCAGUGUCAGUGCUGCAGGCGAUGGUACCGCCAGGACUCGGGAAACCCAGGAUGAGACUUUUUUUUGCUCUAAUUUUGAAGUCAUUUUGGGUUUAUAAAUACCUCAACUAUUCUUGUAUGGGAAAACAAGAAUUGAGUACGAAAUUAAGUUGAAAAAGGAGGAAAGAAUACUUGAAAAUUUUAGGAAACUUCCUUAGGAUUCAGGAUCACUUCUUCAUAGCAUUUAGAAGUUUAUCUAAAGGGAGAAGUGAGGUCUAAGAAAGAGAGGCUUGUAAAGGUUGUCUCCUAAACUCAUGAAAAGGAGAAAGAGUGUCAAAGGUAGUUAAUCUUCGCCCAUUGAAGGAAGAUUGUUAGUGGAUAUUGGUGGCCUUGACGGAAGAGGAAUCGGGAGUGGACGUAAGUCACGACGACCAAACCACUAUAAACUCGGUUUACAUUUCUAUUUAUGAAAUUUAUCUUUACUGCAAUCUGUCUUACUUACUUUACUUUUUUAUUACACUCUUACAAAUGCUUCCAAGUUAAAUAUAUUUUCGAAGUUAAACAUUAUCAAAACGAUUUUAUCGUAUGAAGAUUUUUGAAUCGACGUAAUAUUAUCACUACACUAAUUCACACCCCCCCAGUGCCAACUUGAUCUUAACAAUUUGUAUCAGAGCCACAUUUUUUUCUCAUUUGGUUUAACACCCAAGAGAAAUUGCUCUUUUCGGCUUUUAAGUGUUUUCUUGCUUAUUGGAAAACUCGGAUGAGAGUUUUCUUGCUUUAGCUGAAUCUCGAUUUAUGAAAUAUUAUUAAAAACAUAUUUCAAAAGUCUUCUCUUUUAAUAAACGAUUGGAAUGAUUUGAAUGCUUUAUUUUGUGCCUUAGACAAAAAUAAAUUUAAUUGGGUUUCUAUUUGUGAAAUGGCUUAUGAGAUUUGACAUACUCUUAAAAUCACACACAAAGGCAUCAGUAGAGUUAAAGAUUUGAAGAUUAAUCUUGUGAUAUAUGAUUUUAAAUUAUUUCGAAUGAAGCCAAAUGAAACUAUCAUUGACAUGUACACCCGUUUUAUGGAUGUCAUUAAUAGUUUAAAAGCUUUUGGUAAAAAUUUUUCGAAUCUUGAACUUAUGAAUAAGGUUUUAUAUUCUCUUCCUAAAAGCUGAGAUUCAAAAGUAACUGUCAUACAAGAGGUAAAAAACUUAAAUAAUAUUCCACUGGAAGAACUUAUUGGUUCAUUGAUGACAUAUGAAAUGACGUGCAAGACAUAUAAUGAACUUGAUGAACAUGAGAACAACCUUCCAAAGAACAUAAAGGAUUUGAUACUUCGAACAAUAGAAUACGACUUAAGUGAUAACUCAAGUGACGAUGAUGAUGACCUUGAACUUCUCACAAUAAAGCUUAAAAAGUUCUUAAAAUAAGAAUCAAAAAGUAAAAAUGAACUUAAAAAGAAGAAUAUGUCAAAGAGGAAGAAAGUAUUCAAGGCGGCUUGGGACGAAUCGAGCUCAUCCGAAGAUGAGAAGCAAACCAACAAAGACAAGGUGGCGAACUACGCUUUAAUGACUUUCGACGACGAGGUAACCAAAACCCCCUUAGUUUACUUUGAAUUUACUUGAUGUUUUUCAUGAGUUAUUUUUAAAUUAGUUAGUAAAAAAUAAAAAAAAUUAUAAAAUAAAUAAAUAAAAGGGGAUUAUGCUUUUCUUUCUAGUGUUUUUGAUAAAUUAAAAAAAUUGAUCAUGAUAAUUACAUCUCUUUAUGAUAAAAGAAUAAAAUAUUAGAUUUAAAUCUAAUGCUUGUACACCUAAUUAGAUUAAUCCUAUGUAUGAUUUUAAGAAGCAAUAAUGUGUAUCUUGAUGAUUUUCGUAUUACUUUUUGAUUUUGAUUGAAGAUGCUUUAUGUUCAAUGAAACCAUGCUUGAUGAUUUAAUGAUGAUUUGAAAUCAUGCUUAAUGAGCUUAUAUUUCAAAAUUAUACAUGAUGAUUUUUGUGAUUUAUGGUUUAUUGAUCUUUGUCGUAAUAAAAGUUACUUUUUCGGUUUUAAACGAUGAUGCAUAUUUUUGUUUGGUAUAAAAGACAAAGGCAUGCUUGUAUAAAAUCAAACUACUUAAAUUAAAAUAAAAAUGGGAGAAAGAAAAUUGUUAGCAUAUCAAGAAAACUAAAAUUGCUAGUUUGAAUGUUAAAUUUAGGUAGCAUAAACUCUCCAUAUAUAUUUUUCGGAUCAUGAUCUUGAUUUCUUAAUUUUUAUAACUUGAGUGUUCUUUUUAAAUUAAGAUCGUUUCCUAUCAUUCCUUCUAGUUACAAAAGAAAAAAAUUUGUCAAAAAUGAUUCAUCAUCUUUUGGCAUUCAUGACUUGAUAUUUUAUUUUUUAUGAUUGAAACAUUGAUGUAAAUCAAUCCUUGUUAUUUAUCUUUGUCAUAAUUUAAAAUUAAUGUAAAGGGAAAAUAAAUACAACAUUAUUCUUUCCUUUCUUUUAUAAUGACAAAUGGGGAGAAAGAUUUGCUAGUUUGCAUAUUGCAAAAGGAAGAAAAACUUGCUAUAAAGCAAAAUUGCUAACUUGCACUUUUCAAAAAAGAAGAAAAAAAAACUUGCUAUCUUGAACAUCAACAAGAAUUGCUAGCUUGCAAUCUCAAGAGAAACAAAAGUGAUAUCUUACCUAUCUCGAAAAGUAAAACUUACAAACUUGCAUAUUUAAAAAUAUGCUAAAUUUAUAAACUUGCACAACUUGUAUGUUGUAAAACUUGCUCACUUCUCCUUUUUGUUGAUGACAAAGGGGGAGAUAUAAUGAUGAUGAUUUAAAUCAUGUGUGGUAUGAUGUAUUUUUAUAUUUUUAAAUAUCAUAUGAUUUUUUGAAUUUAAAGGUUGUAUCAAUUUGACAUAUCAAUUGGGGGAGUUAAUGUUACAUCCUGAAUUUUUUUUUUAAUAUAUUUCCACACAUUCAGGCCAAGUAGAUAAACAUCACUUUAUUCAUCAUUCAUAAACCUUUCUUACAAUUCAUUUAUUGAUCAAAUCACAAAUAUAAAAGUAAACAUAGUGAUGUUAACUUCAAGAAUCAUCCUAGCAGUUCUACCUAGCGGUAGAGGAAGGUCCGCUUUCCACUAGAAUUCGAUUUAGUGCUAGAGGGAGAUUACUUUGAAAAUAAAAAAUAAAGAAAAUUCAGUAAAAUUGAGUAGGAACCCCAAAAGUCAACUCAAAAUGAAUACAUGAUCAAAAUUCAAUCAUCUCAUUGGCGUAUAUCAAAUACCCGAAGGAGCACUCUCCCAACAGCGGAUGGAGAGACUUUAUCCUACGAGAUGAGUUUGUGUUCUCCCAAUAGUGGAUGGAGGUAAACUCAUAUCGCACUCCCAACAACGGAUGGAGUGGUGUCUCACACCCACCAAAGUGGGGACACGUUCCUUCCAAUAGCGGAUGGAGGAACCGUCCAACCGUCACGUCUGACGGCCCGCUAAUCCCCGAAGGAAAUCACCCUACCUGCUCUCGAUAGGGAAAUAACAUAAUCUCACACCGGUCAUAUCUAUAUCGGGAUGAAAUAACAUAUUUAAAACAUCUCUUUCAAAUAUCAUCAAUAUCAAAUAAUACAAAUUAGCCCUCAAUUGACUUGAACCCUAGUUCAAUCGAGUUAAUGGAACUCAAUUUACUAGAACCUAACUGAACUGAUCUCUAAUCAUCAUUUAACUGGUCUGAAACUACCUUAAACUAGUAUAAUUUGGACUACAUUAAGUUCAUUUUAGGUUAAACUGACUUGAAUAAGUCAAUCAAUUUGAAAUCACCCUGAAUCGAUCUAGACUAAUCAAGUCUAGUUUAAGUCAAUUAAUAUUUGGGCUCAAAUUCUACAAUAAUAUUGGGCUGGAUUGGGCCAGCCCAUCUAUUGGUAAUAUGCAUUACAUAUGACUAGGCAUGCAUCACACAAAGCUAGCCCAGCCCUGGCCCAUGGAUUGGUCAUGUACAUCGCAUGUGACCACCCAUGAUGGUUGAGCUGGGUUAGCCUACGAGCCAAGGCCUGACCCGUGGGUUGGGCCUGGCCUACGGGCUGGGCUUGGUCUACUGAUUGAGCUUGGCUAGUGGGCUAUGGCCUAACCUAUGGGUUGGCCAAAGCCUAUAAGCAAUUUUAAUUCAAUUUCAUAUCACAACAUAUAUUCAUUAAUAAAAUAAAAACAUAAUAACGUAUUAAAAGAUAGAUAAGGAGAUAAGCUUUAAUACAAGGAAAUAACAUUCUAAAUCUAAAUAAAAAUCAUACUUUCAUAAUUUUAACAUAUUAUAGUCAAUUAAAUUUUAAAUCAUUCAUAAUAAUAUAUUUUAAAUUUCAGAUCAAAGAAUAUCAAAAAAAUAAUUUUAGAUAAUAUAUUUUAAUCUAACAAAAAAUUUUAUCUAGAUAAGAUUAAAGAUAAACUAUAAUGCUAGGAAAUAUCAUAUAAAGAAUAUAAAUUUUUAACAUGUUUAAAUCUAAAAUAAAAGUCUUAAGAAGGAUCAAAUAACAUUAUAAAAACUUCAAUAAAUUUUAAUGCAACAAUAAAAUUUUGACAUUUAAAGAAUUGAUAAAUAUCUUUCAAACUAUAAAAUAUUCAACAUUUAAAGAAUCAAAAUAAAAAUUAAAACUUUUAUUUUCAGGGAAGGUAGGGAAACCUACCUCUCGUCAAUAGGGUGUAACACAUCGUUCCUCCUGCUACCAAGCUCGAAAUCCCUCCCCUUAAAUAGGAGGAGGUGAGCCUCAAUUAAAGAAAAUUUAUUUUAAUUUUUAUAUUUAUUUAAUAUAAAUUAUUUCUAUUUAAUAUAUUAAUAAAUAUGAUAUCACCCUAUUUGGAAUGAUUAAUAGUUAUUUCCUAAUUCGUAUUAACAAACAAGGAAAUAAAUUAAGAUUUCCUUAAAUUACAAUGGCAAGUAAGGAAAAAAAUAAUUCCUAACUGAAAUAUUUGAUGUGAUUACAUUUAAGGUUAAUUCCGUCAUCAAUUAGUUAUCAUCAUCAAAAAGGAAGAGAUUAUUGAAUCUCAGAUUUUAAUGAUGAAACCAAUUAAGAAUAUUAUGAUCUAAUAUACGUUUAAGUGACGUAGGACUAGAUUCGAUCAAAAGAGCUAAAUUGAUUAAAGCAGGAAGAAUAAGAAGUUGGGUCGGAAUUGAACAUAUCAAAAUAUUGGAUAUUAGACUGGAGGAAUGGUCGACGUGUCGGUAGAAGGCUUCAUGCCAUGAGUUUAGGCAUCGGGCCAAGAAGAUCAUACAUUACGCCAAGGAGAUCGGAUGUUGCGAGAAGGCAAUAUGUUAAUUGGGUAAUACAUCGAAGGAGAGGACGAUGCGCCGAAAGGUAGGACGAUGCCCGAAGGGUUAGAUGAAGCGCCAGAUGAACCAAUGACAUGUUAGAUAACUUAACAUUCUUGUUUGUUUUAGAAUAUAAUUAUACGAACUCAAUUAGGGGCUAAUUGGGCCCAAAGUGGGGCUGUUUUGGGCCAAGAGAAAGGCUCAUUCAGUGAUCCAAACAUUGGGUCAGGCGGUGGCACCGCCAAUGGCUCAGUCUCCGAGAUAUAGUCUCCGAGAUUAUGUCAGACGAUAAUACCACCAGAUUAGGCGGUGGUACCACCUAGUGUCAGGCGAUGGUACCACAUAGUGUCAGGUGGUGGUACCGCCCAAUGUCAGUACUGUAAGCAGUGGUACUGCCCAGCAUAUGCGAUGGUACCACCAAGAUUCGGGAAACCCGAGAUGAGACCUUUUUUUGCUCUAAUUUUAAAGUAAUUUGGAGUCUAUAAAUACCCCAUCUAUUCUUGCAUAGACAAGCAAGAAUUUGAGCAAAAGUGAGGAAAAGAAUCCUUGAGUAAAAAUUAUAAUCUUUCUAGAUUAGUGAGUCUCUUCCUCCUAGAGUUAGAAGGUUUCUAAGGGAGGAGUGAGGUCUAAAAGAGAUGUGUAAAUGUUCUCUCCUAAGCCUAUGAAAAAGGAGAAAAGAGUAUAAAAAGAUAGUUGAUCUUCGUCCAUUCAAUGACAAUCGAACCACUAUAAAAUGGUUUGCAUUUCUAUUUUAUUGUUUAUCUUUAUUGUAAACUGCUUUACUUCCUCAUUAUUUUUGAUGCACACUUUUAUGAACAUUUUCAAAGUUAAACAUUGUCAAAAUAAUUUUAUCGUAUGAAGAUUUUUAAAUCAAUAUUAUUUUAUUACUGUGCUAAUUCAACCCCCCCUUAAUGCCAAGAUCCUAACAAUAUUCACGAGAAUAUUUUUUUUAAAGUAAAAAUAAUAAUUUCAUCGUUUAUCAGCCAAAAAAAAUCAAAAUAAAACCUCUAAAAUAGAUUAAAACCUUGGAGGCUAUUAGCCGUUAAAAAAACUAUUUGAUUGUGAGCGAUACAAUUGAGAGUUGUAUCAAAAUGAUUGAAGCAAUAUUUAAUGUCUCGAAGGAUGGAUUUAGUAAGAGUCUAUUGUAUCGUGAUACAGCAUUGUGUGUUAAUUAGGUUCACGAGCAACAUUCAAUUGGUUUGCUAUCUGUUUAAUGUCUUUGAAUGAUGACUUAAUGAGGUUGACGAACAACAUUCAAUUCAUACCUGUUAAUGAGAUUGAUGAGUUCUAAUGAAUACGAGAAGGCAUUGAAGUAUUGAAGAUGGAAGCAUUGGGCAAUAGGGUCAACAUUAGCCCUCUUCGACCAUCGAUCUUCCAUCCCUAUCCUUGAUGAUGAAUCCAACAUCUGCAACACCAGAUAUCAAGUCAAAUGAUCCAUCACACUCCAACCUAAAAGGAGAAAAUACUUUCUAUUUUGUCCUACUGAGUUGUCCUAAAAGGCUAACCCCCUCAAUUACGUGUAGAUCAAAUAGAUCAUUAGUAUCAACCACAAUCCUACAGUAAAAGGAAAAUAUGUUGAUUUAGAAUCAACGAUCCUAUUCUAUGUUUAUCUUAGUGUAUGAUAAUGUUAGAUUAAAAAGUUUUAAGGUUUUAUGACUUAGAAUAUCGUAAGAUAUGUUUGAUUAAGAAGUUUUGAGUUUUUGUAAUUCCGAAUUAUAUUAUUUUUAAUUUCAUAGUACACAUGCAAAAUAAGAAGUAAAAAAAAAACAUAAAUUUUACAAAAAAAAAAAGAAAGAUAAAUCUUGUCAAUUGUGAGUGACUUUUCUAUCAAAGCCUCAUUUGUUAUCAUUUUUAAUAGAGUCUCAUUGUAUUUCUUAGCUUAAAAAUUCACUUUUCAUAAAUGAUAAGAAUGCAAAUGAUAGGAGUAAACUAGUCUAAUAACCAUUGUUUCAUAACUAAAUCAGCUAAAUUAGAGGAUAAAAUCAAGCAAAAUAAAGAAAAUUAGUGUAUUUCUUCUCCAAGAAGUUUGCAUGCUUCGAUUAACAUUUGACACCAUCAAUAUUGAUCUCUUUUGCAUUAAGCCACUGGCAAUCAGCGAUCGUAAAAUUAUAUCAGAUCUAAUGAAUAUGAAUCUUCCCAAAUUAUCAGAUAUUAUUAUUAAAUGUAUAAAUAGAUUUUCUGAUAGGUUUUUUGAUAAAAUAAAAAAAGAAAAUGCUCUUUUUUUAGAGCCCAAAAGGCCCAUUUAAAGGAGCCCUCUCACAGGUCACUGAAGCGGGCUUUGGGCCUUUAUGCGAGCUCCGCAACAGAGCGUCACGUUUCCCUGUUCCAUCUCGUUUCCCUCCUUCCAUAUAUAAACCCGCCGCUCGCUUCUUGCCUACGGCGAAGGGUGGGAACGAGCAGGGCGGUGCCCGGAUCUUCGGCCCCUCCCAGAAGUACUCCCACAUUAGCCUCAAACCGAGGUGAUUUCUCCCUCUCUCUGUCUGUGCCCCUCCCUCCCUUCAAGAAACCCUUGCCCUCAUCUCAGUUUCCCCUACGUAUCUGGAUUCGAUCGAUCGGAUCAAGAAUCGAAGACUUGCGAUGCAUCAUUGGUGGAUAGAUUCUGUUACUUGGAAACCUGUGGUAGAAUUUUAAGAUUCGGUUCGAAUUUCUGAAAAUAACCCUAGGAUGAUGUGAUCUUGAAGACAAAAACAAAUGAAAGAACCGAAAAAUUACAAUGUUUAGGGAGAUUUUAUUGUGUUGAUGCUGACGAUCUGGCUAAUUUCUACGUGGAUGCAGGGAAGAAGAGCAGGGUAUCCAGGAUGAGUUGCCGAAGCAAAACCUCCGAAAGGAGUUGGAAGAGUGCGAGCGGAGACACUUUGCCUCCAAGGCUAAGUCUUGUACUGGUAAAAGCUUGUUCCCUUCUACUGUAUUCUCUCAUGCUAGCAUGUGUUUAUGCUGUUUGUUUAUUUUGCUUGUAAUUUAAUGGUUUGUGAAAGAUCAGACGAUAUGGUUGUAUAUUCGGUCUGGUUGCAUUUGUUUUGGAUCAGGUGAUGUAGUUUUAUAAUCGGUUUUUUCUUGUAAUUGUUGUUUUCAUAUGUGUUGUCUGCGAUUGUACUUUUGGACGUAGAAUCCUAACAUUUGUGGAUUCUGUUAGGCAAAGGCCUCUCUGGCUUUGUUAACAAUCUUCUGCUACAAUGAAUUUUUUACCAUCUCCUUGUUUGUGGAAUGUUAAAAGGUUGAUCUUUGUUGCAGAGUUUAUGUUUGGUUUUCAUUUGGAUUUUGUCUUCCAAUUCUAAACUCUCUUAAUGUGGUUGGUUACUGAAUCUAGUUGUUUUCACUUGCAGAAGAUAGAGAUCGAAGGAAAGGUGGGCAGGUACUUUGGAAGGUAAGCUACAUUGCUUAGGUUCCUUAUUGAUGUUAAAAUUAUCCUGGUGCCGAGACAAAAGCAUCUUUUCUGGUGAUGCUUUUCUUGCUCUUGUUUUACCUACAGGAACAAGGAGAAAAGCUGAAGAUAGAACUGUUCAGAGUGAUAAUGAUGCUGAUGAUCCUGAUGCAUAAGUCAAAGAUGAUGCAGAGAGGUAGAUACUUUUUGUUUCUGUUUCCACAUUUUUUAGUAAUCAUGGUUUUUUUACUAUAAAUUAAGAUAUGAGACACUGUCAUGCAAUUUUCUGAUAAAACUGGUUAUAGUGAUUAACAUAUCUGUUGACUCUGUUUCUACAUGAUACAUGCAUUCGUUUAGUUUGGCUUUCUAUGUAUAUCAAAAUUGUCUUCUUUUAAUUCUAAUUUUAAGACAUUUAUAAUGAAAUAUCAAGUGCCAAAGCUGAUAAACCUAUCAAAUAUAAAAAUAAUUAAAACCCGGUUUCCUUGUUAACAAUGAUCAUUGACUAUAUUGUCUUUAUUUGUCAAAUUUCUAAAAGCUGAGCACGUGUCUCUUUUACUUCCCUCCUUUCUAUAGGAGAACAAUGCAAUGGUGUAAUUUCUGUUCCUCUAAUAUUUUUUCAUAUUCAUCUUCCUUUUUUUUUUGUUCUUAACUCAUCGUUUGCUUGAUCCUACUCUGAUGAAGCUAUACUUCUGUUGUUAGUGAUGGCGAUGAUGAUGAUGACGAGGAUGAUUAAAGCCCUGUUAGCUGAGCUUGAAAGGAUAAAGAAAGAACAAGCCAAGCAAAAACUAAGCAAGGUCUGUGUUAGUAACUUUUUAUGGUUUGGCAUCUGUCUUUUAUCUGCUAAUUAGGUUUCCUUUUGUAUGAUCGACUUUUUUGUCAUGUGUACUCGACUUUGUUACAUGAAGACAAUCUGGCUCUGUGCUAAUUGAAUAUAUCCCUGGUUUAUUAUAUAUUUACACCAGGGUUUUAAUAUCUCAUAUGAGGUUGACAUCUUAUGCCCUACUUAGAACAGUAUUGUUAGUAUGUGAUUCUUGAUCUCAGUUUUCACAAAAUCCACUGCAAUGGUCAAGAUUAUAAAUCUGGCUAAAUGGAAUAGCACAAUCCAUGUCCAUCUGAUGCUUCUUUUUGUACUUGAACUUAUGUUUCACUGGAAUUGUUCUUAGGUUUGCUUUAAAAGCAACUACAUCCUGAAAAGAAAUAUUUAUACAUUUUUUCAAUUGGAUAAGUUUGUUGUAAUAGAGCUUGUUAACUUUGAACAUGGCAAGAAGUUAUUUGGAAUUUUGGAUGCGACUAUUUCAGAUGUGCUUAUGCUCGAACAGAUCCAUACAUGCACAAUUAAUUUUUCAGAUGCAACUAAGUUUUGGUCUAGAUAUCCAGCUUCAUUUUAUGAUUCAACCAUUUAGAUUUAAUUAAGAAUAUUAGUAUUUUUUUUCGACAUACCAAUGUUUUCAUAAAUUCUAUUCUAUGUUAUCAAGGUAAUUUUGUAAUGGCUUUUUCGUAGAAAUGGUGCAUGUAACUGUAUCAUUUUAGUUUGUCUUCUGAGGUGUGUGCUUAUUGAUCAACUAGCUCAGGUGGCCUUAUGUUCGAAUAGAUCCAAAUGUUCUGGGUUACUUUUUUGGGUGCAGCUGAAUCUAAUUUGUCUAGUUAUCCAGCUUCAUUUUGAGACUUAACCAAUUUAAUUAAUGAAACUGUAAAGAUUUUUGUUGGCAUACCUAGUGUCUCAUCAACGUUUUUCUUUGUUAUCAAGGUGUUGUUAGCCACAAUUGUUUUGCAAAGCCUUUUCCAUAGAAAUUGUGCAUGAGUUUUCUACGGAUUAACUGUAUCAUUAUAGUUCAUUUCUUCUUUUGUAAAGUAUCUGCUUUGAAUGUAACAGGAACAACUUCAACAAGCUGCAGCGCUGAAGGAUAAAGAAGCUUAGUUGAUGCGAGGAAAUCCAUUGAUCAAUAUUAAUAAUUCAUCUUCCUUUAUUGUCAAAUGGUUAUCUUAGUAAUAUUUGUUUGCAUUUUGUAGUAAGUAACAAGGUUUAUGUUGUAGUACUCUUUCCAUUUCGUGUGCUGCAGGUGGGAUGAUGAUGUUGUCUUCAAAAACAAGACUCAUGGUGAAACAAAGGCCUCGUAGCAUUUCAUCAAUGAUACCAUUAGAAAGGUGGAACAUUUCAUCGAUACCAUCAGAAAGGACUUCCACCACAACUUUUCGCAGAAGCACAUGAGAUAAUUCAGUACAGUGUUUUGGGAUUUCUUUUGGCAAAUCGAGAACAUUUUGUAAAUCUGUUACCAGGCUUCGAAGUGUAGCUCAUUAAUUCAGCCCAUGGUGGGCUUUAAUAAUUCACAGCCCAUAUUAGUCAUUUUACCCUUUCUUUUUUAACCUAGACAUGAAGAAAAGAGGGGCUUACGACUACAGACAUGGUUUAGCAGUGGCGAUUGAGGGCAGAGGAACAAGAGAAGAAGAAAAAUAUAGAGGUCGUUCUCAAUUAUCUGAAUAGUGUUCUAGCCUCAGGUUGGAUCAGAUUUGUAGUAGACUCUUGUUGUGAUCACAGAAGUAGAUUUUGGAUAUUGUACAUGGUGAUGUAAUCCUUGUAUCUUUAUUAUUCUCUUGUAAUUGUUGCUCUGGUUUUGAGUAAGAAAUUUUGAGAUUUAUACUUUCAUUAUUUUUAUAGUGGAUUUGCUUCUCUAGCUUGUCUAGUAGUUUUUCUUGUUCAUGUUAGAGAGAUUUUUUACGUAAAUCUUGAUGUUUUGUUAUUGUGAUUUUAGUUUAAUUUUUUCGUUGCGUGUUAUAGCUUGCUCAUAUUUAUUCGUAUAUAAGUUUUUUUUUAUCUCAUCAAUUGGUACCAAAGCGGAUUUUGAUAACAUUUAAUUUUUAUAUCCGAACAUGGAGGUCGGUAGUGUUUCCUCCGUGAUUAGCUUAAUCACAGAAAUAAUUUGAUGAUAUAGAAAUCAAGAAUGGAAGAUUUGUAUGGACCUUUUUAAGGGGAUAGUGUAAAGCUUUGGUUUAUUAUUGAGCAUUCGAAUGAAAUGCAGAGUAUUACUAACCAAUUAUCUUUUAUAAAAAUAUCUUUUAAUGAUAAGGUGUAGGCAUUGUUACUUUUUAGUUGAUUAUGAAAAAAUUAAAUGGUUUCCUUCGGUAAUUAUCAUGAGCAAGUAAAAAAUAGUUUAUUGAAUAAGGAGUUUGAAGAGAAAGAAUUUAACAUCUCAAAUUGAUUUGAGGGUACUUGUCUAAAAAAAUACAAGAAAGUCAAAGCAAGUCAAGAUCAGAAAAGAUAUUAUAAGAAUCAAUGCAAACAACUUAAGAAGAGCAAAAAAAAAAAAAAAAUGGAGCCCACCGAGUCAAAAGAGAAUACCACAACUAUAGUAUAAGGUGGUAAUUAUUUAAUUAUAUUUACUUUUGAUAAUAUUUUUUCUUGUGUGUGUUAGGAUCUUGAGUAAGUGAUUGACACAAGUGCUUAUUAUCAUGCUAUACUACAAAGGGAGUUCUUUGUUACCUAUAAGUCUAAAAAUUUUGGUGUUGUCAAGAUGGGCAACUAUGGCUCAAUAAACAUCAUCGACAUAGGUGAUAGUCAUAUAAAAACUAACAUUAACUACAAGUUGGUGCUUAAGGAUGUGAAACAUGUGAUUCACUUGAGGCUAAAUUUAAUUUUAGUUGGAAGGCUAGAUGAUGAAGACUUUAAUAGCAGAUUUCACAAAGAACAAUAGAAGCUCAGUAAGAGUUCUCUUAUUAUAGCUAGUGAGAAGAAAUGUCACAUUUUGUAUAGGUUGCAGGACAAAACUUGUGGUAAGCAAUUAAAUUCUAUAGAGAAAGACUUAAAUAUGGAGUUGUGGCAAAGACAACUAGGACACAUGAGCGAGAAUGGGUUGUAAGUUCUUUCCAAAAGAGAAGUCUUGCCAAAUCUCAAAUAUAUACGUCUGAACUCUUGUAUUAAUUAUUUGGCUAGCAAACAAUAUAAAGUUUUCUCUACUAGUCCUACUUUAUCUAGAAAAUGCAUGUCUUGGAUCAUGUCUAUACUAUAUGUAUAUAGUCCUUUAAGGAAAAAAUAUUUUUCUAAAUCUAUUAAUGUUUAUGGUAUCAGUGAUAUACUUUAUUUUGUCACUUUUAUAAAUGAUUUUUUCAGGAAAGUUUAGGUUUAUGCUAAAGACCAAAGAUCAGGUUAUUAAUGUUUUUAAAGAGUUUCAUGCCAAAGUUGAAAGAGAGAUAGAAAAGUAAUUGAAAUGCAUAAGAUCAUAUAAUGGUAGUGAGUACACAAGAUUGUUUGAUAUUUACUACAUGUCACAUGACAUCCAACAUGAGAUGAUAGUUCCUUGUACGCCUUAACAUAAGAGCGAAUGAUAGUUCCUAGUAUGCCUCAGCAUAAUGCAAUUAUAGAGAGGAUGAACCGCACCAUCAUAGAAAAGAUCAAAUGUAUGCUUUCAUAAACCAAUCUACCCAAAAAGUUUUGAGAUGAGACCUUGAGGAUUACAAUUGAUGUGAUUAACUUGUCACCCCAUAAAACUCUAGAUGGUAAUAUCGUAGAACAUGUAUAGCUAGGGAAAGAUGCCUCCUACAUGCACUUGAGAGUAUUUGGUUGUCAUGUAUUUGCACACAUUUUAAACAUUGAGAGGUCUAAGCCGGAUGGUAAGAUAGAAGAAUAUAUUUUUCUUGGUUACUCACAUAAUUAGUUUGGUUACAGGUUUUAAGAUCGAGAAAAGCAAAAGGUGUUUGAAAGUAGAGAUAUGAUCUUCUUUGAGGAUUGAACCCUUGAGGAUUUAAAGAAUGAGGCAUCAACCAAGACUUCUACAAAAGAAUUAUUAUAUUGUGACCCAAUUACUCCUCCAAUACAUCGAGAUGAUGGGGAGAUGUGCAGAAAGAUGGUGUAAAGGCUAAUGUUGGUCUAUCUAUAAGACAUGUUAAGUAAGAAGAAUAUGAAGAGCAACUUUUCGUAGAAUCUCAAUUGAGAAGAUCUUCUAGACAACAUCAAUCAUCCAGAAGAUACUCUUUUAUCUAUGUUACUCUUCUAGACAACAUCAACUUUGAAUAGAUUUUUUCUCUUGUUGUUAAAAUAUCUUUCAUUUGUGUUGCUCUUUGUAUUGUUGCUAGUCUAGACUUAGAGGUUGAGCAAUUGGAUAUGAAGACAACUUUCUUAUUUGGUGAUUUGGAGGAGGAAAUUUAUAUGGAGCAAUCAGAAGAUUUUGAAGUCAAAUGUAAAGAAAAUUUUGUCUGCAAGUUAAGGAAGAGCUUGUAUGGGCUGAAGCAAGCUCGAAUACAAUAGUACAAAAAAUUUGAUUCAUUUAUGGCUAAAAAUAUAUACAAAAGAAUGGCUUCAGAUGACAUGCUACAUAUUGAUGAUAUGCUUAUCCUUAGGAAAGAUAUGUCUACAAUUGACAAGUUAAAGAAAGAACUAAGUAAAUCCUUUGCAAUGGAAGUUAUAUGGGCUAACAAAGAAAAUAUUAGGCAUGCAGAUUUCUUAUGAUAGAGAAAAAAGAAGAUUUGAUUAUGAUAGGAGAAAAACAUCGAGAAAGUAUUGGAUAAAUUCAAUAUAAGCAAUGCAAAUCAGUUGGUUCUUUUCUUUCAAAUCACUUUAAAUUGUGCUUAGAGCAUAGUAUAAAGUGAUAAGGAGGAGAAAAUAUAAAAGAUUCCUUAUGCUUUAAUAAUUAGAAAUUUGAUAUAUGCGAUAGUAUGUACGACGUCGGACAUUGCAUAUACAGUAAGUGUUGCUAGUAGAUUUCUUACAAAUUUAGACAAAGAACAUUGGAUAGCAAUGAGGUAGAUCUUUAUAUAUCUCAAAGAGAGCUCCAAAAUUUGUUUAAGCUUUAGAGGUGGACUACCUAUGUUUGACAGGUUACACAAAUACAGAUAUGACAAAAGAUAUUAAUACAAGACAAAAGAUAUUAAUACAAAAAAAUUCAUGUUUUGUACUCACCUUUAUAAGAGGAGUUGUGUCAUGACAAUCCAAAUUACAAAGGUAUAUUACUCUCUCCAUUACAAAGGCAAAAUAUAUUAUUGUUACGGAGGUUUAUAAAAAAAUAUUAUGGAUAAAAGAAUUUUUACAAGAAUUGGAGCUGAAAUAGAAAAAUUAUGUGGUGCAUUAUGACAACAAAAGUGUCAUCCUGUAUAAGAACUCAACUUUUCAUUUCAAGUUAAAGCAUAUAUAUAUUAUGUACCACUGGAUUCACGGUAGGACAGAUAUGUUGACAAAGACCUUAUCAAAAGAAAGAUAGGAGAUGUGCCGAUAGUUGGUCGGCAUUUAUAUUGAAGAUUUAUAGGAAAACCUCCCUUAUGGGAUGAAAGAAGAGGUUGUUGGGUACAUGGCCCAUUAAUUCAGCCUAUGGUGGGCCUUAAUAACCCACAGUUCAUAGUAGUUAUUUAACCUAUUUCUCUUUUAACUUAAACAAAAAAAAGGAGGCUUGUAGCUGCCGUUGGCGUGACCAGAAGAAACUGCAAUAGCGACGAUUAAAGGAAAAGAAAUAAGAGAAGAAGAAAAUGAAAGAAGAUGUUGACAACAUAAAGGUCAUUCUUAAUUAUCCGAAUAGUAUUCUAGCCUUAGAUUUGCAACGGACUCUUGCUCAAGUCAUACAAGAAGAUUUUGAAUAUUAUGCAUGGUAACAUAAUCAUUAUAUCUCUAUUAUUCUCUUAUGAUUAUUACUCGGGUCUUGAGCAAAAGACUUCGAGAUUUAUACAUUCAUUAUUUUUAUAAUAAAUUUACUUCUCUAGCUUGUCCCAUAGUUUUUUUCUUCCACGAUGGAAGAGUUUUUCAAGUAAAUCUUGAUAUUUUAUGUAACUAUGAUUUUAGUUUAAUUUUUCUGCUGUAUGUUAUGAAUUUGUUCACAUACAAGUUUUUUUUUAUCCUAUUAAUAUUUUAUUUAUGUUGCUGUUAGCUUUUCUCUAAGACUUCUACAAUUGCAAAUCCAACUAUUCAUCGUGUUGCAAUCUUAAAUUGGUUCUUGAUAAUUGUUUCAGGUAUUUCUUUUUUUCUUCCUUUGUAUAUUGAUAAUCCCUUACACGGAGUUUGUAAAUUUCUUAAUUUCUCUCUCUCUCUCUUUCUGCUGAAUAUUUUCAGAGGAAGAAUAUGUGCAUUAGUAGUUACAGUGAAUUGGAUUCAAGUGGUGGAGACAAAUGUUGUUUAUAUUUAUGUGGACCGAAGACAAAAGCCGAGAACAAAUACUGUUUUAUAUUUAUGUUCGAUGUUUUCAUGUGCAGAUUAUCUUAAAUUAAGAGUCAUUAUUAUUUUUUAAAUAAUUCAUUAUUUCUGAUAAAUGUUUUAUGUCAAAUUAAGAAUCAUUAUUUAUUUUUUAUAACAAUUCAUUGUUUCUGAUAAAGAUUUUAUUCUUUUGGGUCUUGCUUGAGGUUAACUUCGGAACAGGAAUCAUAUGAUUUUAAAUGAGAAGGUGUUGUAACAAGAAAUCAGAAAAAACAUAUUAGAUAAAUGUUUUAAAUUGCUGUCACAUAUUUUACAUAAUUAUUAUCUAAAUCAUUAAAAUAAUAAGAAUUCUGGAUUUUGAAGGAUUUUAGGGUGUGAGUGGUUAUCACAUAAUACUUUCACUAUUGCUUUUUGUACCUCAUGAUUCAUCCCAUUGGGCCCCCUUUUUUUUUUCUUACUUGAACAAAAAAUACUUUUAGAUUUUUUUUUACUUAAAUGACUUUUGGACUUAGUAAUCAUUUCUUUUAAAAUGAAUCAUUUUGAUCUGAUUCAAUAAAAUUUUACUUAACUAAGUUAUAAUGAAAAUUGAACUAAGCUACAUUUAUUCAAAAAAAAAAUCCUUAAUUUUGAUAAUAAUUAUCAUAAAAUUAAAAAAAAAUAUUAAUCAUCUCAAAAUCAUAACCAUAUUAUUUGGUGAAAGCUAAAUUAAAUUUUAUUCGAUCAGUGAACAUAUUUUAAAAAAAAUCUUAAAUUUUAAUAAUUUAUUAUUAAAAAUAUAUUAAUCAUCUUAAAAUCAUGUUCUUAUCGGUUGGAUUGGUUUAGUAGGAGUUGAUUAAGUUAAACAUAAAAAAAAGUCAAUAAGAGUAUGAAACAAUAGUGUCGGAUAGAGAUUGCAACCCAACUGAUUGAGAUCAAAAUUUACAUUAAUAAUCAAUUAAAUAGUAUAUUUAGCAUGAUUGAAUCCAUAAACACUUCAUCAUCGGGAUAUCAAAGCGUAUGGGAUCGAUCGCAUAGAGAAGAAAUGACAGCCAAGCUUAUGUGGCGGUCGUUCUCGCCACAUAAAUAAAUGUGUUGUCGGGCGAACGCGAUGAAUGGUGUGGAGAGGAGGAGAAUUGAUGGUGGCGACACCGCAACCUCCAAGCCGAGGCCCCUCCGGCAGUCCUUGACCACGCCACAUCACGAGGAGAUAACUCCAACAUAAUAAUGAGGCGCAUAGGCAGAUCUGUACGUACGAUAGCAAGAGCUAGCGGGGAGCGACGACAGCAGCAGCAAUUUUGGCUCUUAAUGGCUGGCCAUGAAUGCCGUUGUUGGCCACGCAUGGACCGUCGCCUGGCUCGCCACCGGUGGUUGACAGCAACGGGUCGACAGCGGCCGGUCCCCCGUGGCUGUCGUCUUCUACAUUGUCCGUCGGACCACGCCACCCCCCUUCCCUCCUGUGUUGUCUUCACGUCUACCCCUACCCACAUCACAUACUGCCGCAAGAUUUGCAUGAUGCAGACCCUCCUCCUCCCCUCCAUCCCUCCCUGUGACUUCCGCUGUUGCAGAGGAAAGGAGAGGCGAGGUAGGGAUAAGAGAUGGAGUUCAGAUACUGUGGUGUUAGGACAAUAACUGUGCCAACUUUCUGUGGGUUUUACGCGGCGUUUCAAGUUCUGCGAAUGCUACUAUAGUUGACAGCCCAGGAAGAAGAUUGUUCCUCAAAAGCUUCUCAGGGUAUGGCUUAAUGAUGGGGCAGGUCAGAGGAGUUAGACCUGAGGGAGGGCGGUAGGGAGAGUGACACGUACAGCAAGGAACAACGUACUCCUUCCUGCAUGGAUUCCGCAGAGCUUCUCUGCUUUUAAUCCAUCCAUGUCACAUCUUUCGCUCAGAUCUGCUUCCAUUGUCCUGUAUGUUUUUGAUUAAUCCGAGGAUAAACCUGCUCUCUUCAUUAAGAUCUUUGCAGCUGAAUCAUAUCGAUCUUAGAUCACUAAGCCAAGCCUGAGUAGCUUCACAAGUUGGGAGGAAUAUAUACAAUAUGAAGUCUCAUCUAAACUUCCGCAUUAUAUGAACACAUUUGUUGUCUAACGAGUGAUGGUAAUGCGUGAAUAUAUCCUUAGGAUAUCAAGAGAUGAUGAUAUCAAGACUAAUGGAGUAGAAUCAUAUCCAUCGCUUUGAGGUUUAUAGGGUCUUACAAGAGUUAUGCUGCUGCAGGAGGCAGUGGCCACAGCCGACAGUUGCAGUGGUCGGUGGCGGUGCGAAGAGAUGCUCUUAGUUGGGAUCCAAUCCAACUCGGACGGACCAGUGGAUGCAGUACUUGGCAGUGUCGUGUCCCCAUUCUCUCUUCCGCAGCUCGAUCGUCCUCCUCAUGUGUCUCUUUGCGUGUGUAUGAGAGAGAGAGAGAGAGAGAGAGAGAGAGAGAGGAGAUGGGGUCCGUCUUAUUUGGCAUUUCCUCCACCUCUCUCUCUCUCUACACAGACGCGGAUUCUGCUGCGUUGGAUAUGUUUUGUUGUCUUGCUGACCGUGACCUGCACAAGGACGGACAGAGGGAUGAAACGAGUCAAAAUCAAAGCCUGGUAUUGUGCAUGAGAUUCUCGUACACCCGACGUGCUUUGGUUCUCUGCAACUCGCUAGGAUUGAAUCUUGCAUUCUUACGCCACCAUAUCACACCGAUCUGGUUCUCGACAUUGUAAGAGAUCCACCGAUGCCAGUAAAAGGAUCGGUAGUACUCCCAUGAGAUAUGGGUAACAACAAGUCUCAUCACCACCUUCACCCACUCACACAAGGCAUGGCAAAACCCUAGACAAGAAAACCCCAUCACAGAUGCCUUCUAACACAAAGCACAUGACUUGAUCUCGGAGGCCAUGCCCUACGCAACGUGCAAAACUUAUGAUGAUGCUUCCCAUGGAUUCCUUUGGGCGAUGCUCUUCGACAUGUUUCAUACACUGAGUGAUGCGUUCUCUUUCCCUCUGUCAGCCCGAUGGGUGGAGAAUUGUAGCUCAAACCUCAACCAAGGAAGAGAGUUUAUGUCCAAACAUCGAAACAAUUGCACUCUAGAAUAUUCAACAAAAAUAUUAGGAAGAUAAUACAAAUAUCCUUUAAUUUAUUUGACACAUAUAUAAGUAAGAAUUUGAUUUAUUAUUGUCAACAAAUACACCGAAAUUGUGUAUGUGUUUUUCUUUUUAGAAUGUAUUGGACCAACUUAAAUCGAAUAAUCAUAUUUCAAAUGAAUAUGAAUAUAAUAAAUAAAUACCUUAGUUGGAUUUAGAGUCAAAUUUUAAGUACCUAAAUUGUGAGUUAGAAUGGAAUACAUUAAAUGAAGCUUUUUGAGGAUUUAAUUUGACACAUUUCAACUAAUUAUGUUACUCCCAAGUAGGGGUUGGGAUACUUUCUAACGCAAAUGUAAGUACUUAAGUCUAAUUGAAUAUCUAAAUGGUUAAUCGGAUUCAAAUACAAUUUAGAAAUGUGUAAUUAGUUAUUAUCUUUAUUAUUUUGCUACCGAUAUUUAUUGGAAUAAAUUUGUUUUCAUGCUUUAAGCUUUUUUUAUUUUACGUUUACAAACAUUUAUCACAUAAUGGAGUUUUCUGCAAUAAAAAAAAUUAACUAAUUUAUCUAACAUAUAUUUCACCCAAAAUCUUGUAAUAUCCAUAAGUAACAGAUACUCAAACAUAAUCAAUCAUCAAAUGCAUUUAGGAAAAUGCUAAUGUAUGAUAAUCGUAGUGCAAAUUGGUUUGCAUCGAGGAGCAUUUUAAAAUAAUUUUUUUUAUUAAAAUAUAAUACUAUUUAUAAACGAUGAGUCAUCGUACAAUAAAAAAACUUCGAUUGAGAUUUAAGCUAUAAAAAUAAUUUAUAUUUAUAUUUAAAAAUAAAAUUAUAUAUAUUGAUCUUCCUUAAUAAGAUUUUCUAUUCUGUUGAGAGAAAUCCUCUAUUCUGUUAAGAAAAAUCCUCCCGCCUAAUCUGUAUAAAUAGGAGAAGGACAUGUUAAUGUAUUAAAGCUAAAGCUAUUUCAAUAAAGCUUCUUAUCUUUUAUUCUUUUCAUCACUGUACACUCUUUUUUUUUUUUUUUUUAUAGUUGCAAGAGAUAUUAGCAACAUAAUAAAUAUAUGAUAACUUUUUAAUUAUAUAUAUAUAUAUUGUAUUAAUUGAAAUUUUACAGACAAAUUAGGUGUGGCUAAGCUUCACAUCAUAUCAUUAUCCGAGCCAUCGCUCUCUUAAACUCGUAGGUAGAAUACUCCACCUACCCAUCGUUUUCCGAGUCAAAGAGGACCAUCGGACGCAACCCAUCAUUCUCCACCUCAUCCUGUGUUGACACGUGGCCCAUCUUCUCUUGAUUCAGAACUUAUUUCAUUAAUUAUUUAAAUAAUAUGAUUAUUUAUGUAUUAAUAAUAUGGUAAAUAUUUCACGAAUUAACUCAUUUUAAUUCAACAUCUGAUCAUCUGAAAAAGAUUUUUUUAUUAUUUAUCUUUAAAUCAUCGAAUCUUUAUUUAUUAUUAUUAUUAUUUUUUUUUUAACGGAAGUCUCGAUCUAAAAUUUUUAUAUUCGACGUCCAACAUUUGACAUAAAACUAGACAUGUAUUGGAUCAAAAUCCGUAGGUAUUGUGCAACUAAAAUAUAGAUUACUCGUACAUUGCUAGAUUUAUAGGGAAUUAAGAUAGCUUCUCCCAAGAAAUUACUUACUGUGAUCCAAUUCCCGUAGGUAAACUACGUACGUAGGUAAGCUGAACAUUUUGAAUUCACGGUUCUGCCCUUAGAACGUGCAUGGCACGUGUGUGGUGGCAGGACCAUCGAGUAAUGCCGCCUGGACCGAGAUGCUCAUCCUUUUCUUCAGGCUGACGUCACCCCCAGUACCAUCGCUUUAAGCUUUCUAUCUACCACUCGGCUCACACACACUCUCUCUCCUCCCAAUAGCCUCUGCAGCAGCUGCAGCAACUGUUGCAGUGAAAGAGAGAGAGAGAGAGAGAGAGAGAGAGAGAGAGAGAGGAGAGGUAGGACGACCUCCUCCUCCUCCAUCUCCUCCUCCUCAAGGGUUUUUAGGUUUCCCUGGCCUACCUUUCGAGGAAGCUCAAGUCAAGUCCUUUGUGAUUUCCUUUUUGAGUGUUGCUAUUGCCUUUCCACCCGAGAGAGAGAGAGAGACGGAGAGAGACAACAGCACACGAGCAGAAGUGCAGCUCGACAUCCUGCAGAUCUGAAGGUGUUCUCAUGGAAAGAGGAGCGUUACCUAUUGACCCACGAGAAAAGAAGCAAGUGAUGGAGAGAAAAGAGUAACAAGAAAAGAGUGAAGGAAGAGAGAGAGAGAGAGAGAGAGAAGAUGCAGUCAGGCUAUGGAGGAGUGUCUGAGAUCCAAAAAUUCAUGGUGGACAGCUGCGGCUCCUCGCUCUUCUCCAUCUCCUCGGCGAACCCCACAACUGUCGGGGCAGGCGCCGUCGACACCCCCACCACCGACAUCCACUCCGCGGCCCUUCACCCCCUGAAGUACCAUCCCCUCCCUCAACCUCACCAGCCGCAACCACAGGCGUCGCCGCCGCUGCCUCCCCACUUCUCCCACUUCCACUCCGUCUCCAUCACCCAGCAGCUCUUCCAUCACCCCGCCCACCAGUUCCAGCUCUUCCACCCUCAGCAGCAGUACCUGGAACCAAGGCAGCUCAUUCCACAGCACCAGCUGGGCCUGGAUCAUGAGCCGGCUCCGGAAAACUCCUCGUCGCCAACAAGAAUCAUCCCCGGCAGCAGCAGCGGCGGAGGGCCAUCAUUUCUGACGGCGGCGAUGAGCUUCAAGCUGUCUGUGAACGACAGCAGCGGCGGCGGCGGCGGCGGCGGCAACCGGGAGGGGAUCAAUGACAAUGACUCCAUUUUGCAGGGAGAUGAUGGAAGUGAGAGUCGUCUCCACCACUGGCAGAGAGAGGACGAGUCUUCCAUCAAAGAGCUAUCAUGGUAAUUGCUGUAUGGCAAUCCUUGUUAGGUCUCCUCUCGCAUGCAAACUUAGUUUAGCACUCUAAGAGCUAUCAGUUCAGCCCUAAUUAGGUUGAAGGGAAGGAAACCUAUACAUCAAAGAGAAAUGAUAAGAAAAGACUAGCUGAUGAUUCCUAAGACUGAUGGAAAGGGGAAAAGAAGCUUAAAAGUGCGACUAGAAAGAUAUCCUUCAUAUCAUUUGGACACAUUCCUAAGCUCUCUACUUAUGUUGGAACAACUGCAGGAGGCCACUGGAUCUGGACUACAUCAACAGGAACCACAAGAGGUGCAAGGAUAAGGAGGCCGAGACCUCAAAUAGCAAGCACUGCAGGAAGAACAAAGAGGGGGACGAGACAGAAGAUGUACAAGUCGCCGGUGGCAGCAACUACAAGAUCUUUAGUGAGCUCGAGGCCAUCUACAACAAGCCUGGGGGUGGAGCCAAUCAGACGGGCUCAGGUUCCGCCCUCACUGGUGAUGAGGCCCCUCUCUUGCAUGCCACCACCGUCGCCGCCCCGGGGCCACCUGCAGCCGAUGAGGAAGAGGAGGCGACGGCCAAGAAGUUGUCUAAGGGAAGCGGAAGGCGGAGGAGGAAGUGGCGGCAGCGGCAGCUGAGCUCGGUGGCUGCCUUCUUUGAGGACCUCGUGAAGCAGCUCAUGGACCACCAGGAGGACCUCCACAGGCAAUUCUUGGACGUGAUGGAGAGGAGGGAGCAGCAGAGGAUCAGCCGCGAGGAGGCGUGGAGGAAGCAGCAGGUGGCGAAGUCCAGCCGCGAGGCUGCCACAAGAGCCCAAGAACGCGCUCUUGCCUCCUCACGCGAGGCCGCCAUCAUCUCCUUCAUCGAGAAGUUCACCGGCGAGAGCCUCAAUCUCCCUUGCAACCUCCCAUUCCCGUCCCACAUGCCCGACGCUGACGCCGACAAGGAGGACCACACCAAUACCCCCAACAAUCUCCAGAUCGAACCCUCCUCCGACACCUUCAACAAUGGCGAUCCCGGUAGCUCUAAGAUGUCCUUCAACACAAGUAGAUGGCCGAAAGCGGAGGUGCAGGCACUGAUCCGUGUCCGGAGCGGGCUGGAGUCGAGGUUCCAGGAGCCGGGGCUCAAGGGCCCACUGUGGGAGGAGGUGAGCGCCACGAUGGCCACGAUGGGCUAUCACCGGAGUGCCAAACGGUGCAAGGAGAAGUGGGAGAACAUCAACAAGUACUUCAGGAAGACCAAAGAAAGGGGGAAGAAGCGACCGCAGCACUCCAAGACCUGCCCUUACUUCCAACAGCUGGACCAGCUUUACUCCAAGUCUCUCAACACCAAUCCUAUCACUUCCACCUCUUCCCCU
rnacentral:lncRNA from 1 species